CCUUGAAUUUCCUCAGUUCCAUAUUUAGAUUUCCUAUAUGAGUUAGAUAUCAUUUCAGUUGCAUAACAUUCUUAUAUCAUGUAUACCCUCACGAAAUAGCCAAGUCAUAUGUCAUGUUCUUAGAAUUCAGUCAUGCUUCAGUCAUGCAUUUUCAGUAUAAAUAUUUAGUAUAUCAGUAGUUUCAGCCAUGAAUCAUGCUUCAGUUAUGCAUGCUCAGUAAUCAAGUUUAGUCUAUCAGUAUUCUCAGCUUAGUUAGUCUCAUUCGACAAUGAAUGUUCUCAAGGGGGAGAUAUUGUAAGACCCCGCAAUAAUCUAAGUCCCUAUACAUGAAUAUUUUUCUAUAAAUUUUUUGAAACACUCACCAUUUUUCAGUUUAGAGCCUACCGUUGCGUAGGAAAUUUGAUUAGCUUUCCAACGAUAUAAAAUUCACCUAAAUUCGCUGACCGGGUAAGAAGUUAUGACAAUUUUAAGUUUCAGUCGUUAAACACCAUCAAAUUGACCCUUAGUGCAUCACGUAGCCAACAUAAAUGAUGAUUUUCAAUUUUUAGUGAAGCUCCGCGAAACCCCCGCAUUGUGCCGUUAGCCAAAAUCCCAAUUGUCCUUUUUCCAGUGUCCUGUCGUGAUAAUGAUGUGUUGCGCCAAGGGUGAAUUUCAAAAUCAAAAGAGCACCGCAAUUCCUAUGCGUUACGCCAUUCCCUCAGUUGCUAGUUGUCCCUUUUCCAGUGGCUUGGCGUGAUAGCGGCAUGUUGCGCCAAGGCCAAAAAUUAGGACGGUAAGUUUUCAGCUUCUAUUUUAAAAUUCAUUUAAGGGUAUUUGGGUCUUUUUUCACAGCCCUAAUUAACCUAAAACAUGAAAUUUAACCCCUAAACACCCUAAGUAGUCAUCAUUAUUCAAUUCUCCUUCAAAAAUUAAAGAUCCCCCUUUUCAAGAACAAGAAACCCUAGCUCUCAAUUUCAAGUCAAAUCCUCAAGAACUCACCAAGAACUCCAAGAAAUUCAUCCAUGGGUCCUUUUCAUCCAUGGAGUCCAAGUAUCCAUUUUAAUUACAAAUCCAUCUCCUUUUCAAGUUUAUUUGAUUUUAAAUUAUGAUUUCAUCCAUGAAUCUCUAUGUACUAUUGAUUUUAUACCAUGUUACCCUGAAAUUAUUGUUAUUAUUUAAUUCCCCAUGUUUUAAUAUUAUUAUUUAUUGAAAAAAACUAUAAUUUAGCUCUAUUAUGUCAGAUUCAUGCUAUUUCUAUAUAUUUUAGAACAUUCCUAUGUUUGUUUUGAACCAUGGACUACAAGUGUUUAAUAAAAUGCCUACAAGAGUAAAUGUUUAUGAAAGCCUUCAUGCUAUGUCCUUAAAUGUUUGAGUGUCAUGCUACUAUUAUUGUUUUGAGUCCUGGGGGUAUUGAAUACCCCAAAACCAUACCUUUUUUAUCAGUCUAGUCACAAUACAUUACAAAAUAGUCUCCGGAUUAUACUAUGAGCAUUAUCAGAAUAGUCAGCUAUCAGUCAUCGAACUCAGAACAAUCUAGUAUCUUAGUUUAAUUGGGAGUAGGACUUAUUACCAAGCGAGUGUAGGGAUGGCGGCUUGCCCGUCAGAUAGGCAGAGUUGUUAUUAGUAGUCCUUAUACUCCAAAACUACAUAGCCAGUGUAGGAUAUGAGUAGUCACCCAUAAAAUUAGGCCUGACUAUCUCGCAGGGAUCACCUGUCAGUUCAAGCUUGACACCCUUAGGCCUUUAGACAUUUUAUCAAUUUAGUGGAUCCACACAACCAGCGUUAGUACCCGUGGCACUGUAUUAACACCCUUCCAAUUGGGGUUACAGGUUGGACCCCGAUUAGCUCAAAUUGGGGAAUAUCGGUUAUAAGAUACCUCCCACAGUCUCAGAUACAAUUUCAGUUAGAGUCCCAGUUAUUCAGUCUUAGUGUUCUUUGAUCAAGGCGCACAAAUAUCAGUAUAUUUUUUAGUAUUUCAAAAUACAGAUUUUACUCAGUCCAUGUUAUAUGCCUGGCCAUGCAUCUUCAGUGUCUACAGAUUUUCACGUAUUUUUAGUAUUUUAUAGACUUUCAUGCAUGUUCAGUAUCUACAGAUUUCAUAUUCUCUAUUCAGUAUUCCAUGCUUUACAUGUAUAGUCAGAUAGAUCAUUACUCCUAUUCAUGAAACCUUGCAUGUUAGCCUUCCUCAUUUAGCAUACUUGUACAUUUAAAGUGCUGAUCGCAUACUUUUCUUUUGCGCUAUGAUGUCUCAUAUCAUAGGUGCUGAUGCUCAGGUCCCGGAUCGCACCUAGAUUCUCUGAUUAUCAAAAGUACAGUAGCAGCGGUGAGUCCUCAUCAUCCGAGGACAGAGUAUUUACUUCACGGUUUUAGUUUAAUUAGAUAGUUAGAGUUAGUUGGGGCCUAUCCCAUCAACUCUCAGUUAUUCAGAUCUAGUGGUUUUUCAGACACUACAGUUAGUUAGUUAUUUAGUUUAUCAUUAUUUUCUCCGAUUCAGACAAUUGUCUUUCCUAGAUUUAUAUUUCAGUUUUGAAUUCAGAUAUUAAAACCUUAUCGCAUUUCAGUUAUUCUUCCAUAUUUAUGAUUUUAUUAUCCAGUGCUCAUAGCAGGUACCAGUUCAUGGGUUAGCUUGUGGUCCCUUGAGACUUUAAGAACCAUGUAAUGACUAGAGAGAAGUCUCGGGUCGUUACAAUUCUAAGCUUAACUCAGCCCUUAGAGCUUGAUAAGGGGUCCCAUACUUAGAAAUUUCAGCUAAGUGCUUACACUUAGGAUUAUUUUUAGCCUUAUAAGUAGGCGAUCCUUUUUCCCGACCCUGAAGACAUUAAAGUGUCGAUUUUUAGGUUGAUUCAUGAUCAGGUAUGUUAGUAGGUGUUCUCAGACAAGUUUUGGAUUUUUCAAACAUCAUUUGAAUCAUGUUGGAUCAACGCGAUCUCGAUGCGCCAUGUCGCCUAUCGCAGCUUGCAGUGCCAAUUUUCAGUAAACCAACGCAAAAUCGAUGUGGCGCGUUGGUCAUCGUGUUGAUGCCAUCAAUAUGGCACAUCGGUCCGUGCAUCACUGGGCACAAAUUCAAUCAUUAAAAGCCCACAUUGUGAGGGAUAAUUGGGUCAUUUUGAACCCCUAUUCAUCCCCAAAAAUACGAGAUUAAGUCAUUCCUAGGGAAAAAACAUUCACUUUCUCUCAAAUUUCUCUCAAGAAUAAACCCUAGGGGAUUUAAUUUCAAAUUUAAGCUUCAAGAACACACCAUCAGUCUUAGCAAAUUCAAGUACCAAGGUAUCUGAAGUGUUCAUCCAAGGGUUUUCUUCCACCCUUGGAGUUAAAGAAACUCUUUUUAACUGAAAGUUAAUUGAUCUCAUAGAUUUCAUGUUGGAUUGAUUGUAAUCUUGAUUAUGGUGUUAAAUAAGUUUUCCAUUCCAUGAUUUAUCACAAGCUUCAUGAAAACUAGUUAAUUGUGGAUUGAAUUACGUGAACUUCAUGUUGAACUCUUGAAUUACAAGUUGAAUGUAGUAUCCAUGAUAGUAUUACAUGUUUAUUGAUAUGUGAAAUACCAAUUCUCUCCAAGUGUUUUUCAAAAUGCUUAUGUGAAUUGACUUGUGCAAGUAUGGCAUGUUAUUAUGUGAUUUCGUUCAUGCACAAGCUCAUGUAUAUAAAGUGGUUGACAAAAAUGUCUAAAUGAAUGCAUUAUUAGUAAGCAAUUACUAUUAUGCCACUAAAGUCAUGCAGUAUUUUACUUUUCAUAUUAUCGAAUCCUGGGGGUAUUCAAUAUCCAAAAAUCUAGCUGUUUACCUAGAGCUACAUUAGUUACAGAACAGUCUCAGUAGAGUCAUGAAUAGUAAUACUCUAUAAUCAGUCCCAGUGUUGGUUCAGUAAUCAGUUAAGAACUCAGUGUACUUAGUUUAGUUCAAUUAGAAAGUACGAUCAGUAACAGUUCAAUGAAGUCUAGUACAGUUUAGAAAUUAGUUUAGUGUCUAUUUAGUUGGAAGUAGGAAUCAGCACCGAGCGGACCUAGGGAUGGGGGCAUUCCUAUCAGCAUAGGGUUUGACCCUUAGUAGCAAUCCCUGUGUUAUAGAACUACAUUGCCAGUGUAAGUUGAGAUAUCUUCCUUUUAGACUAAGGUUGAUACAUGUCACAUGAGUUUUCCUGCCAGCGAGGGUUGACAAAAGUGCUUCCUGUCAGAGACGGUUAACUCAUAACUUAUCUUUACCCGUGUCACGAUAUUGACACCCUUCCAACUGGGGUUACAGGUUGAACCCAUAUCCAAUUUGAGAGGGGCAUGUCGGUUAGAUAACUUCCUCUCACAGUUUCAAUUUUGGUCUCAAUAUAGAGCUCAGUUCAGUUUUAUAGAAUCAGGAUUGUCAGAUAUAAUCACUCAUUAUCAGUACUAUAGUAUCAGUAAACUCAUAUAUUAGUUAAUUAGUAUUCAGAAUUUAGUAUCCAGUGUUAACAUAAUCUCAUUUACAGUUUAUAUAUUCAUGCAUGUACUCUCAUUUAGUUACGUUCAUAUUACUCAGCUAGUUGUUGUCUAUUCAUAUGAACCCAUGCAUAUCAUCCUACCUCACUUAGCAUACUACUAUAUUCAAAUUACUAAUAUAUACUUUUGUCUUAUGCUAUGAUGUCUUAUAUCAUGGGUUCAGAUGCACGGGCUCCUGACCGCACUUAGCAGCCCAGAGUAUCAACAAUAGAUUUAGUGAAGAGUCUUCAUAGUUCGAGGAUGAUGUUAUCUUUUUGUAUUUCAGUAGUUCUGCAUAUUCAGUAGACGGAUUUAGUUGGGGACUUGUCCCAUCAACUCCAUAUUCAGACAGUGAGAGACUUUCAGAUAGAUAUUCAAUUUUCAGUAUUCAGUAUUUGUUUCCAGUUGUGAACCAUAUGGCGACUUCAGCCUAAUUAUUUUAUUUAUUUUAGUAAUAUUAUUGUUGCAGUAUUAUUAUUAUUCAGUUCUCACAGUAGGUACCAGUCAUAGGUUAGCUUAUGGUUCUUCGGGGUUGUAAGCACCGUGUAGCGUUUAGUGUACAGACUCAUGGCGUUACAUUAACCUAUAUACCCAAUUUUUUUUUCCAAUGAAGGUUGUUAAUCCGACCACCCUUUGAUGGCUGUAGCUCCACACCUGCCACCCCUCUGUCUAAAAUCUACUACUACUACAUCAAGUCCAUGGAGAAAGAAAAUAAUCUAUAAUUAGAGUACUCUUCAAUUGAAAAUGGAAAUAGAAAUGGAAAUUGAAGUACAUUUGUCAACAAUCCAAACAUGAUGAGCAACAACUUUGAUAUUGAAAAAGAUUAUUCAUUAAACUUUUUAUUAGAAACUAUGUUUGGUACUACUACUAUUGAUAAUCCACAUACUUUGAUAAUAAUUUCACAACAACAACUAGUAGUUCUAGUUUCGAUUUGCUAAUGUUGCCACCUCAUCAUGAACCCCCUCAUCAACCUAUGAUUACUACUUCUACAAUUCAAGAUUGAUCAAUAUCUAAUCACAUGAUUAAUGUUACAGUUAUUAGAAUUUUUGUCAUGAUUUUCUUACCAAAUUUAAGUUUUACUUUUUCUUGAAAGGAAAAUAAAAGUAAUAACAUAAUUACUUAUAUUUUUCCGUGACUGGUAAACUUACUUUCAAGUGACCAGGAGGUCAUGGGUUCAAGCCUUAUAAACAUCCUCUAACAAAAAUACAAGGUAAGACUACAUACAGUACACCCUUGUGGUGGGGUCCUUCCCCAGAUACCGUGUAUAGUGAUAGCUUUAGUGCACCGGACAGCCCUUUUUACCUUUCCUUAAAGGAAAAUAUAAUUUUUUUCUAUAUUUGGCCAAUCUCUUUCUUGGUGGAAAGGUUUUAAAACUCUAUAAAUAAAAUACCCCCUUCUCAUACAAUAUCACAAUAACAUCCAUAAUGUAGUCGUUUAAGAGUCUUAUUUUGGGAGAGAUUUUCUCCCAAUAGUUUUGUGUUUUCUUUAAUAUUAGUUUUCAUGUGUAGGCCAAUUGGCUAAAUAAUAUCAAUAAUAUAUUUUUUUAUUAUACUUUUAUUUGUCAUCUGAAUUAUCAUUCUCUUAAUUUGCAAACUUUAAUUUUCCACAUGACGCCCUAGCAAUUUCGAACAUAACAAGUGGUAUCCGAGCCUAUGGUUCAAAGGUCUAAUGGUUUGGUGAAACGAUAUUAAAUACAGGUUCAAAGCGGUUUCACAAUCAAGCUACAACUAGUUUUGUGAUAAUGACAAUUUUGUUUAGUUACAUGUGAAGAAGAAGUUUUAAGCAUAUUUCAACAAUUCUGUUGCUGCAUCUUUAAAAAUAAAUAUAAAAUAAUUAUUUUUAAUACACUUUUAGUCAUAAUAUUUUAAAUCUUGUUUUUAACCAUGACAAGCAGUAGUGGUGAAGAUUAUGUGAAGAACGAAGUUCAUGCAUGUGAAGAAGGCAGAUCAAGUGAAGAACAUCAAGCCAAAAGGGGAGAUUUGUUAGGGUUUUUGCCCUAAUUCUCUUACCAAAUUUAAGUUUUACUUUUUGUUGAAAGGAAAAUAAAAGUAAUAUCAUAAUUAUUUUUACUUUUCCUGAAAGAAAAAUAUAAUUCUUUUCUAUAUUUGACUAACCUCUUUCUUGGAGGAAAGAUUUUGAAACUCUGUAAAUAGAAGAUCCCUCUUUUCAUACCUUAACGCAAUAGUAUCCACAAUGUAGUCAUUAAAGAGUCUUGUUUAGGGGAUAUUUCUCCCAAUAGGUUUAAUGAUUCUUCGAUAUUAGGUUUUCAUAUGUAGGUCAAUGGCCAAAUCAUAUAAUAAUAUUAUAUAUUUUUUAAGUAUUUUAGGUUGUGUCAUCUGAAUUAUCAAUGGUUUGGUUUGUAAACUUUAAGCUUCCGCAUGACGCCCUCUCGCUUUCGAAUCCAACAGCAGUGACUCCAAAUUUAUCAUCGAUUUCUUCAUCAUAAACUGAAUCACCUGCUGAUGACUAUCAAUAAGCAAAACAGGUGAACCAGCAAGAUGGAGAGCAACAUCAAAACAAGUAUAAGAAAUCGCAAGCUAAAAUUUUACUUCUUUAUGGAUAAAAUGUAUAUUUCUUUUAGUCUGAUCGAUUAUUAGAAAACAUGAAAUUAGCUAUGAUAAAAAUUAUAGGUAAUACUUAGCUAACUUGUCACUAAAUAACUGUUAGCUAACUGGAUUUUCUAUAGAACGGUGAACUGUUGAGAUUAGUAUGAGAUUUUUGCUGUUUAACUAUAAAAUUUUUUCCGCACUCAAUUGUUUGUUUUGUUUAAGUUACCCCAUAUUUAGUUUCCCCCACCCCCUCCAUUUUUUUAAAAAAAUAUCUUUUCUAAAUUUAUGAAUCUAAUAAUUUUAUGUUGAAUGAGAAGUUUUUAUAGCUACAUCAAUAAUAUUUAUGUUUCUAAAACAAUCCUCAUGUCUUACACAUGUUAAUAUUUUUUUUUGUAAGGGUCAAAUACAUAAAAAAUCAUUUUGAUGAAAGGUGGAGUUUGAUUAGAACUGAAAUCUUUGCUUGUUCUGACAUAACGUUGAUACAAAACACUUUAAAAAAAUAUUAAAAAAAGCAUAUCUUCCUUACUUAUAUCUUCAAUAGUUUUGACAGGCUAGUUUCUCAGAUGGUCAGUUUACUAAUUGUUUGUUAUUAACACAAAUAGUUACCUUCUUGAUUUCAGUUUUCUCCCAUAUAAAGAAAGUUACUUUCUGAACUUAAAAUUAUUAGUCCAAUGACGACCUGAAAAUUCAACUGUAGUUUUGACUAACAAAUAUCGUCGAAGGGAAUUAAAGUGUUUCUAAACAUAUGUGAAAUAAUAUAUUUCUUGAUGAAUAUGGUUUACAAUACAAUGAUAUAUAUAGUUGUACAUUAAUAAAUGAGAAGAUAAGGCUAAACUUCUAACUGUAGUUAUCCUCUUAAGUACAAUAGCAAUCCAGAAUAAUUUAAAUAAUUGAUUGUCACUUAUCACUCCCCCUCAAGUGAUGAACAAUCUGGAAGAAUGCAGAGCUUUGCAUGUAGGAACAACAAUCUUGGUAAAGAAAGUACCUUGGUUAAUAAAUCAACAAGUUGAUCUUGAGUAGGGACAUAUUGAACUGUAACACCCCGCACUUUCGGACUAAAAUUUAAAUCGUCGUUCCUACGCGUUUAGACCCGAACCCAAUAAUUCUUUGUUGAUAUAUGUGUGAUGAUCAAUCCUACAAUGUGAGAAUACUUUUUAAUAUGAAUUGAGGUCACAAAAUGUAAGAACCCGCAAAAUCCUAAGCUCAACUCAGUCUUUAAAGCUUGCUAAGGGGUCCCAGAAUUAGAAAUUUUUAGCUAAGUCUUCAAACUUAGUGUCAUUUUGGCCUUCGUAAGUUGGCAACUCUAUUUUAUAAUCUCUAUGACCUUAAAAUGUUAAUCUUUAGGUUGAUUCAUGAUAAGGAAGGUCAGUAGGUGUUUCCAGACGAGUUUCAAAUUUUUUGGACCUCAUUUGAACCAUGUUUGGGAAUCCAAAAUAGUGUAUCAACGUGAUCUCGAUGCGGUACAUCAACAAUCGCGUCGAUCAAUAUUUUUCUUGGCUUCCAGUGGAAAUUUCUAGUGAACCAACGCAAAAUCGACGCAGCGCGUUGGCUAUCACGUCGAUCCCAAUGACUCGGCACGUCGGUCUAGGCGUCGGCAAUUCAGUUUUCAGUCAUUAAAAAGCCACAUCCUAAGAGGUAAUAGGAUCUUUUUUCCACGUCCUUCAACCCCUGUAACACGAGAUUUACCCCUCAAUUAGCAAAUUAUAUUCAUUCUUUCUCAAAAUACUCAAGAACAAAAACCCUAGGAGAUUAUAACAACAACCCACAUAGUGAGGUCUGGGGAGGGUAAGAUGUACGCAGUCCAUACCACUAUCUCCGGAGAUGUAGCAAGGCUAUUUCCGAUAGACCCCCGGCUCAAGAUAAGAUAAGUCAUCAAAAACGUACACAAAGCAUGAAACAAUAUGACAUGACAUAAAUAUGCCACCUAUAAGUAGUAGUAAGCAAAGAAUAGUAAGCAAUCGUAAUGCAGUAUAACAAGAAUACUGCACCGGCCAAGUAAAGCCCUAUCCUACCUACCGAAAAAGUCACUAGCCUUCUAUCCUAAUACGCGUUCUCCAGAUCUUCCUAUCUAGUGUCAUGUCCUUAGUAAGUUGUAAUUUCUCCAUGUCCCGCCUAAUCACCUCUAUCGAGUAUUUCUUCGGCCUACCCCUGCCCCGCCUAAAACCAUCCAAAGCAAGCCUCACACACCUAUGAACUGGAGCAUCCGUUCCCCUCCUCAUCACAUGUCCAAACUAUCUUAAACGGACCUCUCGUAUCUUAUCCUCCACCGAAGCCACACUAACCUUAUCCCGAAUAGUCUUAUUCUGAAUGGGAUUACCUCAUAGUCGUCGUCAGCAUGAUUUAGUCUGGGUCAUUGUAGAUAGAAUGACCAAAUCAGCUCAUUUCCUACCAGUCCAUACCUCUUACUCAGUCAAGGAUUAUGCCAAACUCUAUAUCAGGGAGUUCAUCAGAUUUCACGAUGUUCUGUUAUCCAUUAUAUCAGAUAGAGGUACCGAGUUCACCUUUUAUUUCUAGAAGGCAUUCAAAAAAGGUCUUGGUAUCUGAGUUCACCUCAAUACAGCCUUUCAUCCUCAGAUAGAUGGUCAAGCAGAAAGGACCAUUUAGACUUUAGAAGAUAUGAUAUGAGCAUGUACGAUAGACUUUAAAGGUAGUUAAGAUGACCACUUGCCUUUGAUUGAAUUCGCGUAUAACAACAACUAAUGUUCUAGCAGUUAGAUAACUCUAUUAGAGGUGCUCUAUGGGAGAAGGUGUAUAUCUCCCAUUGGUUGGUUUGAAUUGGGUGAGGCCGUGGUGGUGGGGACUGACUUGGUAUUUAAUACCUUAGAGAAAGUUUAGUUUAUUGGGGAAAGGCUUAAGAUAGCUCUGAGCUGACAGAAAUCGUACGUUGAUGUACACAGAUGUAUAUAGAAAGGAUCUUGAGUUAGAGAUUGGUGAUUUUAUGUAUUUGAAAAUCUCUCCUAUGAAAAGAGUGAAGAGGUUUGGCAAGAAGGGGAAACUCAGUCCUUGAUAUGUCGGUUCUUACCGAAUUCUCAGCCAUUUCGAAAAGGUAGAUUACGAGCUUGAGUUGCCUUUAGACUUAGCUUUAGUGCCUCCAAUGUUCCAUGUCUCCUUGCUUAAGAAAUACAUAGGUGAACCAGCAGCCGUAGUUCCUAUAGAGGGCAUAGAUAUUCAAAGCAACCUCUUUUAUGAAGAGAUCCAAGUCAAAAUCCUUGAUUAUCAGACUCAUAGAAUGAGGAAUAAAGAAGUCCCUCUAGUCAAAGUUCUUUGGUGGAAUCAGUCCAUUGAGGGAGCUACUUGGAAGAAGAAGCAGACAUGCGGACCAAGUACCCUCACCUUUUCUCUGCAACCUCAGACUUAUCUCAAGGUAAUAGUUUUCCUUUGAAUUACUCAGUCUCAUGUUCAGAUAUAGCUACCAACUUGGUAUUAAUUAAUGUUGCAUAAUCAGUCAUGCAUUCACGAAUCACUUCAGUUAAGUACUCAUGCAUCAGACAUGUAUGUCCAGUAUAUAAGAUUAGCUUAUCAGUAAUCCUAGUCAUGCAUUCAUGAAUCAUGUUCAGCUAUGUAAUCAUGAAUUAGAUAUGCAUGUUCAGUAUGAUAAUUCAGUAUACAUAAUUUCAGUCAUAAAAUCAAGCUUCAGUUGUGCAUGUUCAGUGUCUAAAUUCAGUUUAUCAGUAUCUCAGUUUAAUCAAUCUCAUUCGAGGAUGAAUGUUCCCAAGGGGGAGAUAUUGUAAGACCCUACAAAAUCCAAAGCUCAACUCAGUCUUUUAAGCUUGCUAACGGGUCCCAGACUUAGAAAAUUUUAGCUAAGUAUUCAAACUUAGUGUCAUUUUGGCCUUCGUAAGUUGGUAACUCUAUUUCACGACCUCUAUUACUUUAAAAUAUAAAUCUUUAGGUUGAUUCAUGAUCAGGAAGGUUAGUAGUGUUCCCGGAUGAGUUUCGGAUUUUUCAAACCUCGUUUGAACCACGUUUGGGAAUCCAAAAUAGUGUAUCGACGCGAUCUUGAUGCGGCGUGUCAGCCAUCGUAUCGAUCAAUAUUUUCCUUGGCUUCCAGUGGCAAUUUCCAGUGAACCGACAUAGACUCGAUGUAAUGCAUUGGCUAUCAUGUUGAUGCCAAUGACUCGGCGUAUCGGUCUAUGUGUUGAUGAUUUAGUUUUUAGUCAUUAAAAAGCUGCAUCCUCAGGGGAAAUAGGGUUUUUUCCCACGUCUUUCAGCCCCAUAACACGAGAUUUAGCCCUCAAUAAGCAAAUUAUAUUCAUUCUUUCUCAAAACACUUAAGAACAAAAUCCUAGAAGAUUAAAUUUCAAAUUCAAGGCUCAGGAUUUCACUAUUAAUCUUCAAGAAUUUAGAAACCAAGGUAUGUCAAGUGUUUAUCCAAGGGUUCAUUCCACCCUUGGAGUCCAAGAAACUCUUUUAAACUCCGAGUAGCCAGAUUUCAUGUUUUCCAUGAUUUUGAUUCAAGUGUAUUCAUGACUAUAAUAUUGAUUGGAUUUCUAUUCCAUGCUUAAGUGAAAGAUUUAUGUAAAAACAACUAUUAUUCAUAUGGAAUUAUGUGAAUUCAUGUUAAAGCCUUGAAAUUGUGAUACUCAUGUGUUGAUUAGUACUAUGCGCAUAUACAAUGCCUUCCAAGUAUUUGGUGAGUUGUUCAUGAGAAUUAAAUAAUGAAAUUAUAUCAUGUUAGCCUGUAUUCAAGUUCAUGUCACGCAAACGUUCAUUAGAAUUCCCCAAUGAAUGAAUGAAUAAUGAUUGAGUAGUUAUUUAUCAUGUUUCAAGAUUGUGCCAUGUCUUAUAAUUUAUGCUAUCGAGUCCUGGAGGUAUUUAAUAUCCAAAAAUUUAGCUGAUUACCUACAGCCAUGGUUAGUCAUAGGAUAAUAUCAGUCAUGUCACAAUCAGUAGUACUCUCAGUCAGUUAUAAAACUCAGAAAAAAAUCAGUAGACUCAGUAUAAGUCUAAUCCAGUUCAAUAUUCAGUUCAGACCACAGUAAAUUCAAUUAGUUAACGGAAUUCAGUAGUUUCCAUCAGUUAACGAAACUCAGUGAACUCAGUUCAGUUUAAUUAAAUAGUAUGAUCAGUAAUAGUUCAGUCCAGCUUAGAACAGUUUAGUAAUAAGUCUAGUGUCUAUUAGUUGGGAGUAGGAUUCAGCACUGAGUGAACCCAAGGAUGGGGACUUACCUGCCAGUAGAGGGUGUGAUCCUUAGAAGUAGUACUUGUGUUCCAGAACUACAUAGCUAGCGUUGGUUGAGACAUUAACCUGCCAGUUGAGGGUUGAUUAGGUGAUCUAUCUGCCAGUUAAGGGUACCACCAUUCUCGUUCAGAGCACCUGCCAGAUGAGGGUGACUCAGCUUAUCCUUACCCAUGGCACAGUGUUGACUCCCUUCCAACUGGGGUUACAGGUUGGACCCCAAUCAGUUCAAAGAGGGGCAUGUCAAUUAGAUGACUACCUCCCACAGUUUUAGUUUUAGUUCCAGUCUCAGAAUAGAACUUAGUUCAGUUCUACAAAUUCAGGACUAUCAAACACAGUCACUCAAUUCAAUAUGGAACUCAGUAUAGUUCCACAGAAUUAGGACUAUCAGAUAUAGUCAUUCAAUUAUCAAUAGUACACUGUCAGUAAUCUCAGAUUUUAGUAAAUCAGUAUUCAGACUCAGUAUCCAGUGUUAUCGCGAUCUCAGUUACAGUAUACGUAUUCAUGCAUGUACUUUCAUUUAGUUAUAUUCAUGUCAUUCAGUUAGUAUUUUUCAGGCAUAUGAAACCUUGCAUUUCAGCCUACCUCACUUAGCAUACCAGUAUAUUCAAAGUACUGACAAAUACUUUUCUUUUGCACUAUGAUGUCUUAUAUCAUAGGUUUAUACGCAUGGGCUCCUGAGUAUCCUUAGCAGUUUAGAUCUUCAACAGUCAGAGUUAGUGGUGAGUCCUUAUAGUUCGAGGACAUGAUUAUUAUUUUAACAUUUUAGUCUAUUUCAUUAGUCAGAGUUAGUUGGGGACCUGUCCCAUCAACUCCCUAUUUCAGAUAGUUUAAAGGCUUUCCAGGAUAAAGUAUUUUCUGACAGAUGUAUCAGUUUUGGUAUUACUAUACUAUAUUUAGUUUAUUACAGUAUUGAACCUUAUGGCAUAUUUUUUGCCUAAUUUCUACAUAUUUUAUAGUAUUAUUAUUUAGCUAUUGCAGUAGGUACCAGUCAUGGGUUAGCUUGUGGUCCUUCGGGAUUAUGAGGAUCGUGUAGCGUUUGGGGUACAGACUCGGGGUUUUACAAAAAAUCCCCUAUCUCAAAGACGAGUUGAAAACUCUUCUUUCGAUUAAGUUUUGGUAAACGUCUAAACUUGCGUCAACGUCCAUCAACUAUAAAUUCUUAUAUAUAAUGAGUUAUAGGGCCUACUAUAUAUCAAAUGAAAGUUCAUUGAGUAUUAUUUCCAAUGCCACCCAUUUCUCCUUAAUCCGAUAGCUGAGUAAAAAGUUAUGCCCAUUUUCUAGAGUGGUGUCAGUCUGACGAAUUGUAACAGUCAGACUGACGGACCGUCAAGACAAUGAUGGCCCGUCAAGAUUUCUUUCAAAACUCAGGUAGUGAUAUCUUUAUCUGGCCAAGAACUAACGGUUGGAGUGAUGAUUCAUCACCCAAAUGAUGUUCCGUCAAGAAAACCGUAAGUUGAGGCCGAGUUGCUCAGAAGAAACAUUUUUAAUGGGGUGUUUUGGUUCUUUUCCUUCCCAGAAACCUCUCACACUAAUUUAAAUCAUGCAUUAAGCGUUAUAAUCCAUCUUUUAUUAGUUUUAAACACAUAUCAAUCCUUUCCACUCUCAAGAACAAGAUAGAAAAUAGGGUUUCCUUCAAGAUCAAAAAUCGAACUCUUAGUCCAAGAUUUCUAAGAAAUAAAUCAAGAUUUGAGUUCUACUCUUUAAACUAAGUAAUAUAAGGUACGUGGAAUUUUCUAAACUUUAUGGUCAUGAUGAAAUUAUUUCUAAUAACAUUUUAUGAAGGGUUUGGAAUUAUAUUUAGAAGUAUGCAUUGGGAGAAUUUUGGUCUUGAGGCCUUCCCUAAAUCUUGAAGUUUUACUCAUGUAUAUGUAUAUAUGUGUUUUCAGUUUUGAAAUAUGAAUUGAGAGCAUGAAUAACGUAUUUCCCUCUCUCAUGGUGUUAUUUCUUGAUUGACAAGUCUUGGAUUACUCAAUUGCAUAUCUUAAAGCAUGAAAGGAGAGUUUUAUUAUCAAUUAUGAAUUUUAUGUGGAUUGUGAAUGGAAGAGAGGCAUAUUCUUGUUUGCAAAGGCUGAAUGUUAUAAUCAAAUGAAUUGAAUGAUUAUCUUGAGAAAUUGACCACCAUUUAUUGAAAUGUUGAAAAAAAAGAGUUUUUGCAUAGUUUGACAUAUGUUUUUGGAAAUAUGAGUUCUUUUGUACUAUUUGAAUGAUUGGGUGAUCCAAACAUCUUGUUUUGAAUGAAAGUACUAUAAUAUGAUAUUUUAAGGCUUAGAGAUAUGACUUGCAAGUCUUGGUAUGACGAUACCAAACAGAUGAAUGCCAUAACAGAUUCAGAACAGACUAAAAUACAGAUUUUACUCUAAUUUUUGGAUUUUGAAUAUAGAAAGAUGCAUAUUUGAAAAACGUUAAAAAUGGUCUUAAAGAGAGUUAGAUGGUUAUCAAAAUAAAGUUUGAGUUGAAAGACUCAACGCUAGAAACCGUGAUUUGUCGACACGGGGUUAUGGUACCAUGCUUUGUGGGCUUGUGUACCUUGAUUCAUAUCAUCCCAAUUUGGAAUUAUGGUUAGGAGCUAUGCUUUGUGAUAUUGUGCACUACCAUGACAUAUUGAUUUGAUUGGGGAUCAUGGCAGCAUACAUGUGGUCUUACGUGUCUCUCCUUACUGAUACUACAAUCCUUGCAGUAAACUUAAACUAGAGGCUUGGCCGCCAGUCAAGGAAGGAUUCCAUAUAGCCCGUGGAAUUGCAGAUUAUAGGGUGUACCAUCUAGCUCAGAAGUAAGAUAAAGAGUGAGUCGUGAAUUCAAAGAAAUGUUUUAAAGUCUUUAAAGCGUGCCCAUGUGUUUUCAUAAUUAUAUGUAAAAUAUUUUUAUCAAUUGCUCUCACUUAUGUUAUAUAUAAAUACAUUAUUUUGGAUUUCUCUGCAUACCAAUACAUCUUUAAUGACCCCCUAUAUUUCAGGAUUUGAGACACAGUCCCAGGAUUUAGCUAAGUAGUAGAUUGGAUUGUCCGAAGUUUGCAGUUGGUGAGCCUCCCUUAUUUUGGAAGGCUUUGUUGAUUUGACAUUGAUAUUUUAUUUUGGUUUAUGGUCCGACUGGGACAGUAGUGUUUUUGAGCUGUUAGAGAUUUUGUAGACUAGCAUCAGGUGUUUUUGAAUGUUUUAUGAACUCAUUUUCGUAUUGUUCAGUUGAAAUAAAAGAAUGACCAUAUUUCUGUCUUGUCAUGUUCUUCUGCAUUGUCCUUACAGUAUAUUUAUUAAGUGUAUGAUUGCCAGUUAGAGAAGGGCUCUCAGGCCUUUAUGGUUUGGGAUGUCCAUCGCGACUAUGCCCUCGAUUCAGGUCGUGACAUGAACCUAAAGAACACCUGUGACAACCUUUUCACGAUCAAAGUGAAUAUCAAUUUUAACAUGCUUGGACGAUCGUGCUGAACAAGAUUGAGUGCUAGAUAAAUACUGCUAAUAUUGUCACAAAAAAUUAUAGAAGAAGAAGGAGAAAUAUGAAUUUUACGUAGAAGCAAAUGUACUAUGUUAUUUCAGCAGUUGCUUGAGCAACUGCCGUGUAUCCAACCUCUGCACUUGAUCGAGAAACAACAUUUUAUUUCUUAGAAGACCAAGAUAUAAGAUUUUGACCAAUAAAGAUGCAGUAUGCUAAAGUAGAUCGAUGAGUGGUAGGGAACCAACCUAGUCCGCAUCACUGUAACAUUGUAAGCCGUUAGUAGAGCCACCAAGAAUAAAUAACCCAUGAUCCACAGAACCUUGCAAAUAUCACAAAAUUUUUUUGAUGAUAGUAUAAUGAAUGGCCAAAGAAGAAUGCAUAAAUUGAGACACUUGAUUAACAACAAAAGCAAUGUCUAGACGGGUAGUAUUUAAGUACUGGAAACCACCAACAAGGCUUCUGUAAAGUGUUCAAUCAAAAAAAGGAGGACAAUCUUCAGAAUGAAGUAGAGACUUAGGAGAUAGAGAAGUUGAAACCGGUUUUGAAGAUAACAAAUUUGCACGAAUAAGAAGGUCUUUUACAUACUUGGAAUGACAAAGAAAAUAACCUCCACUGUGAGCAACUAUAGAAAUACCAAGAAAAUAAGUAACUAAACCUAAGUAAUUCAUGGAAAAUGCAGAUUUAAGAGUUUGAAUUAAAGACUUCAGUAAAUAAUUAGAAGAAGCAGUAAGGAGAAAAUCAAAAACAUAGAGAAGAAUAGCCAUGUCUGAAUUAUGUUUGUAAAUGAAAAAAGAUGGAUUAGACAUGCUAUUUUUAAAUCCAUUUCUUAAAAUAAAGGAAGUGAACCUAUGAAACCAUGCUCGAGGAGCUUGUUUUAAGCCAUAAAAGGCUUUGUUCAACCGACAAACAUGAUGAGGAAAUUAUGGAUGAACAAAGCCAGUAGGUUGCUUCAUGGAUACUAAUUCAUCAAGAUUGCCAUGUAAAAGGCAUUCUUAAUGUCUAAUUUAUGGACUUGCCAUUUCUUAGAUGCAGCAAGGGCUAAAAUAGUGUGAAUAGUGACUAGUUUCACCAUUGGACUAAACGUUUGAUCAUCGUCUAGUCUUUGUUGUUAUUUGUAGCCUCGGGCUACACGAAGAGCCUUAAAAUACUCCAGAGAACCUUCAGAUUUUUGUUUUAUACAAUAUAACCAACGACAAUCAAUAAUAUUGGCAUGCGGAGGAGGUGGAACUAAUGUCCAGGUGCGAUGAGCCAUAAAAUAAAUGUUUUCAUCGGCCAUAGCACAUCUCCAAUUAGGACACUUAGAAGCUUCCGUAAAAGAUGAAGGUUUAGAUAGAAGUGUGGAGGAAUGAGAAAGAAGAGAAGCAAGGACUCAAGGCUUGAGAGACCCUGUUUUCUUAUGGGUAAUCAUGGGAUGAAUCUUUGAAUAAGAUGGUAAGGUUGGUAAUUGAUCCGGAGAAGUAGAAUUAAGAGGUAAAGAAGUGUAAGGACUAACAUUUGGAGAGGAAUAUGGGAUGUCUUGUUGACCAACUAUUGAUGUGGAGAUUGGAGUUUGGUGUCCAGUAGGUGGAGUGAAAUUAGAAUGAAUUUGAGAUGGUGAUGAGAUAUAGGAUAAGAAUUUUCAGCAUUAAUAGGAGAUAAAAAUGGUGCACUCCUUUGAAAGUUAAUAUCCUGGAAAUUAGGAGACACCAUUGAAAAUAAAGGAGGAGAAAUAUCAAUCAAAAAGGGAAGUUUAAAUAGACUAGAAGGGCUAACUUGCGAUGAAGUUGAGGCCAGAAGAUAAGGAUAAAGAAAGAAAUCCUUGUUGAACCGAACAUGCCUAGAGAUAAAUACUUUGUUAGUUGUAGGAUCCAAACAUAUAUAUCCUUUGUAGUUGGAAGGAUAAUGAAGAAAAACACAAUGUUUUGAAUGAGGACUCAACUUGUAAGAAGAAUAUUCAUGUAAAUUGGGAUAACAUAAACAACUAAAAGAACAUAGAUGAUGGUAGCUAGGAACCUUUGCAAAGAGAGCUUCAAAUGGCAUUUUAAAUUGAAGUUUAGACAACGGGAGGAUAUUUAAAAGAUGGACAACUAUGUUUAACGCUUCAACCCAAAAUUGAGAGGGAAGAGAGGCUUGAAAUAAUAAUGAAUGGACCAUAUUUAAAAUUGUGUGAUGUAUCCAUUCAGCUUUACCAUUUUGUUGAUGAGUGUGAGGAAAAGAAAUACGAAGCAAAACACCAUUAUCAUUAAGAAAUGAAUGAAAGGCCUGGAGUUUAGAAAACUCCGCAGACCCAUCAUAUUGAAGAGCCUUUAAUUUUGUAGAAAAUUGGGUCAAGACAUAGGCAUAAAAUUGCUUAAACAUAGAAAAAAUAUUGGAUUUACACUUGAGAGGAAAUACCCAUGAAAACUUUGUGAAAUCAUCAUGGAAUGGAAGAUAAUAUCGAAAACUAGUAAAAUAUGCAAUAGGGGAAGUCCAACUAUCACUAUGAAUGAAUUCAAAUAGAGAUGAAUAAAAAGAGCAAGAAUCCAUAAAUGACAACUUUUGGUGCUUGCCAAGUUGACAAGCGGUACAUAUAUACUCUAAACUUUUGAAUGAAGAACAAGGUAAUUUAUUGCCCUUAACUAAACUAGCUAAAAUAGAAGAGCUUGGAAGUCCUAGAAGACAAUGCCAAAGGUUUAGAGAGACCUAAGAAAUAACAAGAGUAGAAUGAAAAGUUGCAACAGAAUCACCGCAAUGAGAAGAAAUUGCAUAGAGUGGUCCAGAACUAUUGCACCGGAGUAGGGGCUUCUUCGUCAUGAGUUCCUUAAUGGAAAAACCCUAAAGAUAAAAAUCCAUGGAAUAAUUAUUGUCCAUAACAAAUUUACGAACACACAAUAAAUUAGUAGAAAGAUAAGGAAGAACUAAAAUAUCUUUAAGCAUAAAAAGAUUAUCAGAGGAAGCGAGAGUACCAUGUCCAAUGUAGGAGAUAGGGAUUUGAGUUCCAUUACCCACAACUACAUGAUCUGAGCUAUUGUAUGGAGUAAUAGAGGAUAAAUAGGAAGCAUUAGAAGUCAUGUGAGAAGAGGCUCUAGUAUCAACAUACCACGAAGUACCACCAGGUGUAGAUGCUGAGUAAUUAGAACUAACAUCUGACAUAAAGGCCUUAGAAUGCAGAGAUGGACAAUCACGAGCACUAUGAUUUGGUUGAUAGAAAAUUUGGUAGUAAAUAGCUACAUUUAUGGGUUGAGAUGGAAUGUAAGAAGCUGAAUAGGGAAAGGGAGGAGGACCUAGGAUAGAAGAAAGAUGAGGACGAGGAGUGAACUAUGGAGGCAGCCUAGUGAAGGAUCUGCCAUUCCCUUGAUUUUGAUGACCACAAAUACAACCGCCAUUGGAAUGGAAACCACGUCCCCGACCAUAAGAGGAAGAAAAUUGUUGCUUGGCCAUAAAAGUAGUGGUAGCAUUAUCCGUAGACGAAUUUGAGAAACUGGUCAAUUGAGAUUCAUGGAGAAAAAGUAAGGAGAGUGCCUCAAAAAAAGAAAGAGGAGGAACAUGAGUGGAGAUAGAGGUGCUCACAGACAUAUAUUCAGAAGUUAAGCCAGAGAGUAUUUGGAGAACAAGAUCAAAAUCAGAUAUAGGAUUUCCAAUAGAGGUCAAGGCAUCAACUAUGGACUUCACGCGAGAUGGACAUAUUCAUUAAUAGAGAGAUUACCUUUCUUAAGAUUAUGAAAUUGAACUUUGAGUUGAAGUGUUCGAGAACUAACUUGAUCGCAGGAUAAACACUCAAUUUGAAGCCAUGCAUCUCUAGAAGUGAGCGAAUGAUUAGGUUUGAUUAUUGGUUGAAGUAUCUCUUGAGAAAUAGUUGCUUGAAUCCAUGAAGGAACAACGGAAUCAAGUUGAAUCCAUUUUUUAAAGGAAGGAUUAGGGACAGAGGUACGAUCAUCCCUCAGAGUAGUAGGCUCAGGACAAGGGAAACUUCCAUCAAUAAAUCCGUAAACACCAUGACCUUUGAAAACCGGUAGGAAAAGUUCCCUCCAAAAAAUAUAAUUUUGUAUAGUCAAGAAUAGUGCAAACCAAAUUUUUAAUGUUAGAGACAAAAACUGCAGAGGAAGAGGACGGAAGAAGGGAGGAAGCUUCAGUGAAGGAGGCCGAUGUAGAAGAAACUGAUUGAGUAGAGUUAUUGGAAGUCAUGAUUCAAUAGCAGAGAAAAUCUAGACAUUUGAUACCAUCAAACAAUAUAUUUCUUGACGAAUAUGGUUUACAAUACAAUGAUAUAUAUAGUUGUACAUCUAUAAAUGAGAAGAUAAAGCUAAACUAUUAACUGUAGUUACCCUCUUAGGUGCAAUAGUAAUCUAAAAUAAUUUAAAUAAUUGUCACUUAUCAAUAUGUACAUCAUCAUCUGAUUACUUGAAUUGUUUUUGGGUGUUUCCCCUUUAGUAGUUUCUUUUAUUUGAAGUUUUCCCUUUCGGCAAAAUGUGAUAUGAAUUUUUUGUUUUCUUAGGUUAAAACCUAAAAGGAAGAACCAAAAGGGUAAAAGAGAGCCAAGAUUUGCAUUCAUGACAAAGAGUGAAAUUGAUCACUUGGAUGAUGGUUAUAGAUGGAGGAAAUAUCGCCAAAAAGCAGUUUAAAACAGCCCCUUUCGAAGGUAUGUGUAUUUACAUAUUGUUUUUCACCCGAUAUUCACAUUGAGAUCCAAUUAAAUCUAGAUUCACACAUUGCAAGACUCACAAAGGUGUGUGAAUGAAAAGAAUAAGAGAAAAGUCAUAUGCAUAUUUCACACCUACACGGCAAACAAGAAAUGCCACAUUAUUUGCUUAAGUCUUAGGCUCUAAGCAAGAGAUUUAUUUGAAAAGAAAAUGAGGUUAAGUUACAUACAUUGUUCUCAUAUAUCCACAGUUCCGGAUCUAGAGACUAAGGUACGAGCUGCGCUGAGCUCAGCAAUUUUUGUCCAAAUUUGCAUUUGUUUUAAGAACUCCAUUUAUUAUGCAUGUACAUGUUUUAAUUUAUAACCUAGUAAACUAAAAGUCAUCAGGUCAUCUAAAGGAUAUAUACACGUGACAUUAAAGUAUAACUAUAUAAGGUUAGCAGCUUCUACAAUAGAUAAAAAUAUUGAGAUGAUAUAAUAUUUUUUUCUUACACCGACAGUGUAGAUAAAAUAAAGUUCUACAAAGAACUUGCUACUUUCUCUAUAUCUCUCACAUUUUAUAUUACUUUCUUUCCUUUAUAUUUUUAUUAAAAAUAUAGCACAUUCUUUUCCUUUAAUUUUUUUUAUCUUUAAUAAUAACAUGAUCUAAUAUAUAGUUACAAGAAUAUGUAAAAAGGGUUUAAAAUUAUAAAUUCUACGGACACUUUACCAUACAUGCAAAGAGUCGACGUUUUUCAAAUUCCUUGUCUCAUGAGAUGGACAAAGUGUAUAAAAGGAUUGUUUGAUGCUCAAAGCAUCUUGCUUAUGAAUAUUUCUUUUUUCCUUUCGUCAGUAAGUAGUCUUAUAACGCAAGUGUGAGAUAUAUGCAUAAAAUGUCUUGUGCAUGCAGGAACUACUAUCGUUGCACAACAACAUCAUGUACUGUGAAGAAGAGAAUGGAAAGGUCAAUUCAAGAUACUUCAAUCGUUGUUAAAACUAAUGAAGGUACACACACGCAUCACUGCCCCGUACAGAGGCGGAUCCAAAAUUUUAUGUUUGGGGGUUCCAAUAAAAUAAAAAAUAGUCGUCGCAAGGAGAUUCAAACUUGGGUAUAGCAUGUGAGACAUUUCUUCAAGCCCCUUUUGAACCAUUAAGCCAACUAACAACUUUGUUAAUGGUUCCUCACUUAUCAUUCUUAUAUAUUUAAUAGAUUUUUAAUAUAAUUACAACGUAUACAAAAAUGUUUGGGGUUCCUGGGAACCCGUACCCGCAAUGCUAGAUCUGCCCUUGGCACCGUAACGCCUAAGGGGUAUGUCGGCGUUCAGACGGUAACCACCAACUACGAUGGAGUCAUAGGUGGUGGUGAUAGUCGAGGAAGAACUUGUUAUGGUGAUUCCUCUUCCUUAUUUUCAACUAAUAAUUCACUACAAGAAAGAAGGUUCAGGAGCUCUUUUUCCUCUUUGAAUGAGGAUUAUGGACUUAUUCAAGCUAUGAUGCCUCUUUGAAUGAAGAUCAUGGACUUAUUCAAGAUAUGAUGUCAUCACAUAUGAGAAGAGAUCUUAUAGAAGAGUAAGAAAAGAGAUUAGGAUAUAUAUAGUCGAACCUAAUUUAUUUGGGACUGAGUCGUGGUAAUUGUUGUUGUACAACGACUAGAUAGUUUUUAGUUUAGUUAUCGCUUGCAAGUUCUUUUAUUAAAUGGUGUUAUUAACUCGUUGUAGAAAUCUUUGUAGUGAAGUAGUUUUUUAAAUAUUUUGAUUUUUGUAAAUCCUUUGGCUUCCUUUCUAGUAUUGUCUUUCAGUUACAAUUUUAGUUACUGCACGCGUUUUAAGGAUAUUCAGCUUAUUUAGGACAAAUAUAAAAGUAUGUGGUUAUAGUGAAAGUUUGGAAAGUUAGAUUAACAUUUAUUUCUUGUUUCUAUUAUAAAUUUACGGUAAGAAUUCAUCCUUUUCUUAAAAAUUUCUUGAUUAAUUUUUCAAAAUUCCAAAAAUCUUAGGGCUUGAUUUUAAAUCCCAAUUUCACUACUUUUCACUUGAAUAGUAUUUUUAUCUUAGAAUUACUAGUUUUCCUUCAAUUUAACCUUCAAAAUAACUUCGAUUCUUGAUUUUAAUCUGGAUUUCAAAGAUUUUACUCGGUAAAGCUCAAAAAUGAUUUUUCUGCGAUUUGAACCUCAUUUUUGACUCGAUUUGACUUGGAUUUUUCAGAUGUAGGUUUCUAAAAAUAUGAGGAACACAUUUUUGAAGUAAAGUUUUCAUUUUGCCCUUCUUUUCUGGGAACUCGUCCCGGGGGUCCAUUUUGAUCCCAAACCAAAAGUAGUCAAUAUGGAUAUCGUUAGACUCGUAUUAAUGAGUAUAUUUCUAUUUUGAUAGUGUGAUGUUAUUUUGGAAUUGUGAAGUGAAUAUGGGUGCUUGGAUAAUGAUUUGAGGUUUUGCGGUUCGGCCUUAUGGGCGCUUGGAGAAUGAUUUGAGGUUUUGCGGUUUGGCCUCGAGGUAGGCUUCUGUCUACUCUUCUCUAUAGAUGAUGUGUGAUAUAUAUUGUGUGUAAAUGUGAAUGUGAGGUUUGAUUAUUCAUAUAAUGACUUGGUAUUGAAUAUUAAUGUUUUGAGAAUUAGAUGAGGGUUUUGAACCCAUAAGGUGGAAUGCUUAUGACCUUUUAGAAUCCUAUUGCCUUCUCCCAAGAUUGGACUAAUUUGUAGCAUGAAUAUGAUAUGAUUCUAGAUUUGGGAUGGGGUUAAAGUGUUGAAAUCAUUGUUAGUAUGAUUAACCUUAGAUGGGCUAAUUUAGUGGUCUUGAAAUCGUAAUUUGGGUAGAGUUGACUUAAAUGCUCAUGUUUUUAGAAGAAGUUCCUAUCUUAGGGUUGGUUUUCGCUUACUUGACAUCUAAAAAUGAACUAGAUACCUUAGCCUAAUUUAGGGGCGUAGAUUGCCUAAAUAUGGAAAUUGAGAAUUAGAAGCGGAUUCAUCUGCCCCACUUAGACCAAGAAUUGUAUAAGCCCUUGUGGAAUUAUUGUGGAUGUUCGGCCUAGUUAAGACUAAUGAGCCUUAUUUACGAGAUUUACUUGGUGAAUUAAUAAAUUGUGAUGAAUUUUAUCGAAUUAUGAUUAAUGACAUAUAGAGAUGUUAAUUCCUUGUAGAUGCGAUAUUGGGCCUUUAGAGACCUUAUUUCCUCUUAGAUACGAUAUAUGACUUAUAUAAACGAUAUUCCUCUUAGAUAUAACGACUGAACAAGAGAGGUGAUAUUCCUUAUAGUCAUAAUAUGAGACCUAUUGAUAUGGGAUAUCUUAUGUGAGAUAUGAUUAUAUGCUUAUUGAGAUCAUAACUCAUUUAUACGAGAUACCUCCUAGAUGGGAGAUGAUUAGAGAUAUUCCAUACCUUAUAAAUAUGAUUACAGAUAUGACUUCCGGAUAUGUAUAUGGGCCGAAGGCCGUGAUUAUGUUAUUUUGAUUAUUCUGAAUGUAUUGUUGGGCCGAAGACCAUGUUAAGAUAUUGGUUGGAUAUCUAGAAAGUGUUUAUCCUUGUAAAGGAUGUAGUUACAGUUUAUGAAUUUAUAUGUAUGUGCAUAUACACUUCUCUCUGGUAUGGGAUGGAGGAAGGUUCAAUAUGAUGCUUAUUGUUCCACUGAUUCAAUACUGAUGAUUGAAUGCAUAAAUUCAGUAUAUUCAUGAUUAUUUUAUCAAUACUUGAUGUGAUUCUAUAUAUGAUGAAAUCUUAUGACUGUUCUUCCUAAUUAAGGGUUAAGCUACGUGGUAAUUAGUUGCCUAUUAGAUCACUAUAGCACUUGAUGACUUGGAGUCUCAUGACCUAGUUAAUGAACCUUUCUUAGUUGAAUUAUGGUACCUAGCGAUAGUUGAUUCAUGGUUAAUGAUGUUGUCCAGUUUAGCAUAGGUGAAUAUUAGUUAUUACUAAUGACUAAGUUUAUGAUGCUGUUUAGUUGUUAAACGAAGAUUUAUGUAUUAAUGAGGUUAGAUAAUAAAAGAGGUUAGUUAUAAGAGAUCACUAGUUAAUAAUGAUUCACGAAUAUAGGUUAAUAAGUGUUUAAAUAAUGAUAGUGGUAUUUUUCAAGAUGAUGACUAGUGAAUUAGCAAUGCAAUAAUAAGUACUGGUUAGUUAACAAUGGGUAGAUAGAACAUAUUAAUGAGAUAGUUAUCUUUAUGGAUUUACAUUUAUCAUUAUGAGUACUUGAUUUAUGUUAUUCUUUUAUGUUAAUUGAUGAUGAUAUAUUGAUACCUGAGUCCAUAGAAUUUUGAACAAGGAGGGGGACAGAGGCAUUGAGUUAGGGGAGCUGAAGAACUCAGAGAAGAGCCAUGAUUACAACCACUGUAGACUUUUUAAGGUAGAGGAGGUCAGGGAGGCUAUUUGUAGGAUGCGGAGGGGUAGGGUGACGGGGCCCGACAAGAUUCUGGUAGAUUUUUGGAAGUUUAUGGGUGGGGAAGGCUUAAGGUGGUUAACUGAUUUAUUUAAUGAUAUUUUUAAGACUGCGAGAAAGCCUGAGGCCUGGAGAUGGAUUAUGAUGAUUCCAUUAUAUAAAAAUAAGGGUGACAUUCAGAGUUGCAACAACUAUAGGGGUAUUAAGUUGUUGAGUCAUACUAUGAAGAUUUGGGAGAGGGUGGUUGAGCAGAGAUUAAGAAGGAUCGUGUCCAUUUCAGAGAAUUAGUUUUGUUUUAUGCCUAGUCACUCGACGACAGAAGUAAUCCACCUUGUGAGGAGAUUGGUGGAACAGUAUAGUGAAAGAAAGAAGAUUUGCAUAUAGUGUUCAUUAACCUGGAGAAGGCUUAUGUCAAAGUCCCUAAGGAGGUUUUUUGGAGAUGCAUGGAGGUAAGAAGGGUCUCGAUGGCAUAUAUCAGAGUUAUUAAGUACAUGUACGAUGGAGAGAAGACUCGGGUGAGAACAGCGGGAGGAGACUUAGAUUAUUUUUUGGUUGAGAUAGGGUUGUAUCAGGGUUCGACUCUUAGACCGUUUCUAUUUGCAUUGGUGAUGGACAUGUUGACGCAGAGUAUUCAAGGUGAGGUGCCUUGGUGUAUGUUAUUUGAGGAUGAUGUAGUGUUGAUUGAUGAGAUAGGAGGGGGGUAUGAGUGAAAAAUUGGAGGUAUAGAGGUAAACCCUGGAAUCUAAGGGGUUCAGGUUGAGUAGGUCCAAGAUGGAGUAUUUGGAGUGCAAGUUUAGUGACUUGAGGCAGGAGAACAAAGAAGUGGUGAGGUUGGAUUCCCAAGAUAUUUGUAAAAAGAAUAGUUUUAAGUAUCUUGGGUCUAUGAUUCAAGGAAGUAUAGAGAUUAAUGAGGAUGUCUCUAAUUAUAUUGGAGUAGGUUGGACUGUAAUACCCCGCGAUUUUCCUAGCCUAAACUCAUCUAGAAAAAUGUCAAGGUUAGAUAUUAGAAUAAUUGAUGCUUAAUUAAGUGGAAUUCUUUAGAUUUGACCUUUACAUGAUGUAGGAAAUUGAAUAAGGUUUCCAACGAUAUAAGAUUCGCCUCAAUUCAAAAAUCGUGUACGAAGUCAUGGCCAUUAUAAGUUCCAGUCAUAAAACAUUUGGACCCUUAGCGCGUCGCGGAGCAGUGUUAUUUCCUAACUGUCAUUUUCCAGUAGCCCUCCACGAUAUUGGCACAUCAUGGAGAGGGCCAAUUUUUUGUUGGUCGAUUUCCAGAGGUCCAGCAAGAUAAUGACGCAUCGCGCCAUGUGCCAAAAUGGCAUUCCAAAGGGGCACCGUGAUGACCCCACAUCGCGGAGCCUGCCCAGUUCCCAGUUGGCAUUUUCCAGUGGCUUGGCACGAUUAUGGCAUGUCACGCCAAGGCCAAAAAUUGGGUCACCAGUUCAUUUUUCCAGUUUCAUUCAGACAUUAAAGGAGGGUAUUUUGGACUUUUCCCCAACCCUCAAUCCAUCCAAAACACAAGAUUAAAUAUUUUUAGAAGCAUUAUAUGCUAAGUUUCAUCAAAAUUACUCUCAUCCAAAACCCUAGGCUUCAACAUUCAUCUCCAAAAAACUCAAGAUUCCACCAUCCUUUCUCCAAGUUGAUUCAAGAUUUAAGAUCCUUAGAUCAAGAGUUUCAAGAAUCUUCAUUCAAGAGUGUCAAUAGAGUCUCAAAAUCAAGCUUGUGCAUCUAGUUCAUCAUUCAAGGUAUGCGGGGUUAUGAACAAGGACAAUUCUUUCGUCCUUGUGCCCAAAACUUGAUUUUUAUUAUGAAAGUUAUUUUAUUUUACACGUUUUCCUAUGAAAUUGAAGUUACGUUUAUACCCAAUGUUGCUAUUCAUGAGAUUAUGAGAUUUUCAAUGUUUUUAGAAGUUGAAUUGCAAGAGUAUGUUGAUAUUACUAUGUAUAUUGCUGAAAUUUUCAGAUUUUAAGAUGAUUUAUGAAUGUUUAUGUCAUCAAACAUGAAUUUUGAGAUGUUUUAUUAUGAGAUUGAUAUAUGAGUCAUUAAACCCUAUUUAAUAUUGAGAUUUUGAGAAUUUUUGUGCUAUAAGCACCCCAUGAUUAGAUUAUUUUGAGAUUAUUGAGAAAGAUUUGACCUUUUGAUCACAAUAGAUUGCAAUCCACUUUGCAAAUUGAGAUUAUAGAUUUUACAGUUGGUUUCAUUAUAAACCAUGAGAUUAUUUUAAUGUGGAUUUUUCUUGAGAUUUUGAGCAUGAGAUUGGGAGUAGUAUUUAGCACCGAGAUGGGUAUGUUACUACGGUUUCAUACCCUUGAACUAUGUGCCAAUAUAGAAUUUAGAUUAUUCCCACUUCUACAUCGAUAACUGAGAUUGUAAUCACCGAGAUGAGAAUGUUCUAUUCAGAUGGCAAGGGUAGAAACACCCUAACCUUAUGGGGGCUAGUCGUGGGACACCAUGGAUGCUCAUAUGGUGUACAUGUCGGUUAAAAGAACCUCCCAAAUAGAUGUUCCCCACCCUUAAAACAACUUUUUGAGAUAAAGUAUUUACUAUGUAGAAUGAGUUUCAGAUUUCACCAAGCUUACAUGAUUUGAGAACAAAAAGAGAAUACAGAUUUUUAGACUAAGUGUGAUGACUCACAAGAUUCAGAAUAUAUGCAUUACUAUUUGUGAUUUUAGAUUUCAGUAAUUUAGAUUUACUCAAGCCAUGUGAGUCAUUCAUGUUUAGCAUGCAUGAUUUAUAAACUGUGAUGAUAUUAUUUACUUAUUGUAUACACCCCCAUAUAAUUAGUACAUCAUCAAAGUACUGAUCCAUAUAUAUGUCUAUGUUUUACAUUGUCUCAUAAUGUAGGUAUAGGUGCUCAGUCUCAGCAGCGUGAUUGAUCUUCAAGCAUCUUAUCUAUAUCCCUACAGUUGGUGAGUACUCAUAGUUUUGAGGGCUUAGUUAUUCAGAUUUCCAAGUUACUAGUAGAUAUGUCUUUACUCAUUUCAGAUAGUUGAGCCAGUUGGGGCUUGUCCUAGUGACUCUCUAGAUUCAGGUAGUAGAGGCUUAUCGAAUUGUUAGAUUUAGAUUUAGACUUUUGAGUUAGUAUUCAGAUUUUUAGCAUUUGUUUAAUCAGAUUGAUAAGAUUAGUAAUUCAGAUAGUUUUACAUAUUUCAUCAUAAUUUAUACUCUAUGUUGAGAUUCAGAUGUGUUAGAAGGAAGCCAGGGUUAGCUUAAGACUACUUAUAGUUUAGAGCACCGUGUGGCAUCUCGGGAACUAGAUUUCAGGGCGUUACAUGGAUAAAGUGGAGUCUUCUCUCAGGAGUGUUGUGUAAUAGGAAGGUGCCCCUUAAGCUUAAAGGAAAAUUUGAUAGAGUGGCAGUCCAUCCAGCCAUGCUGUAUGGAGCGAAGUGUUAGCCUGUCAAGAACUCCCAUAUUUAAAAAUUGAAGGUGGCAAAAAUAAGAAUGUUGUACUGGAUGUGUGGGCUUACUAGAGGGGAUAGAGUUAGGAAUGAGAUUGUCUGUGAGAAAAUGGGAGUGGAUUCGGUGGAGGCAAAGAUAUAGGAAUAAAGGUUGAGAUAGUUUGGGAAUGUGAUGAAGAGGGGCAAAGAUGCCCCAGUUUGUAGGUGUGAGAGGUUAGCUUUGGAUGGCUUCAGAAGGAGUAGAGGUCAGCUAAAGAAAUACUGGAGAGAAGUGAUUAGACAUGACAUGGAGCAACUUCAGUUUACUGAGGACAUGACCCUAGAUAGGAAAGUGUAGAGGUCGCGGAUAAAGGUAGAAGGCUAGGGUGAGUGCAUGGGUUGUAGCAAGUAGUUAGGAGAGUCCCUGUUUAGCUGGGUUAGUAAUUGUAGGACUGUGUCAAUAGGUAGGAAACACUAGUAAGGAGAGUUUCGGUGUGGUGGAUGGCUUUGGUCUGUGAGUGUAGGUUACUACUAGGCGGGUGUCCUAUUUCAUAUUUCUUAUUUCUUAUUUCUUAUUUCUUAUUACUUAUGACUCUUAGUUCUCCUAUUCCGUAUUGCUCAGAGUUCUAUUUUACUAUUUCUGAUUCUUUUCUCCUAUUAAGCCACCCAUCCUGCAUCACAUUUCAUUAUGACUUUGUUUACUAUUCUUUAUCUUGAGCCGGGGCUCUAUUAAAAAUAGCCUCUCUACUUCUUCGAAGGUAACGGUAUGGACUGCGUAUAUUUUACCCUUCUCAGACCCCACUGUGAGGGAAUACAUUGGGCUUGUUGUUGUUGUUAUAUUGAUACCUGACAAGUUUGGAGGAUACUAUAAUGAUAUAUUGAUGUCCGGUAAGGUCAGAGAAUACAAUGAUGAUAUAUUAAUAUGUGGCAAGGCCAAAAGAUACUAUGAUGAUAUAUUGAUACCCGGUAAGGCCGGAGGAUACUGUUGUGAUACAUUGAUACUUGGCAAGGUCAGAGAAUACUAUGAUGAGAUAUUGCUACCCGGUAAGGCUAGAGGUUGAUUACGAUUAUGAUGGUCAUGAUAAUGACGGUUAUGAUGAGUUGUGAUAUGGAUUAUGUACCUUGUAUUUAUUCCUGCAUGCGCAUCAACUAUCACCGGUAUGCACCUAUGUAAAUUAGUUGUUAUAGGAUGGUUGUAUAGAUAUGGGUGAAGAAAAUGCCUUAUGUUGUUGUGUGUUGAUUGAACCUUCCAAGUCUGGGGAGGUGGGGGUAUGCAUAUGCUUAGCUAGGUAAUUGAUUGUCCAAAGUAGCCGAUUAUUCACACUGAUAUUGAUAUUGUUAUUAUUAUUGUUUUGAUUUUUACUAUGGGUAACUUAUGAUAGACUAGUCAUUGAUCUAGUAUUGGGAUUUGAGGUAUGUAUUUAGCCUCUUUUAUCUUAUGAUUGCAUUAUUAUGCACGAUUAUAUCAUGUCUAGCCAUGUUGAUUAGAAACCCUGAGUAUGAUGGUAUUAAAUCCUGAUAGUAUUCUAAUAAGGUCUUAAUAUGAGAAUAUGAUGAUCUAGGUUAUGCUUUGAGAUGAUCUCACGUCUAUAUGUAUAUAUAUAUGUAUAUAUAUAUAGCUAUAUGAAGCUAUGGCAUUAUCGUAUAUCCCUCCCUUCAGUUGUUCUUAUUGUAUAUUAAUUUCUUCGCCUUACAUAUUGCUAUAUAUCUUUCAUUCUCUCUUUAUUCGUAUAUUGUCUUGGGUUAUAUAGUAUAGCAUUGACAUCUAUUGAAUGUAGCUGGAAUAAAAUAGUCCACCCUUGAUUCUUCUUUAGUCUUAUUGUAUUAUUCUCUUGGACCUAAACAUAAUAGUUGUUCCAUAUUAUCUCAUUGACUUUUGAUAUGAUUUUUGGACUCUUGGGUGUAGUUUGUAUUCUAUUUAUAUGUUGUAUAUUUGCUUUAUCUUUGGAGCUCAGUUGGCAGUUGCCUACUGAAUACUAUUCAUUUGGUACUCAUACUACACUUCUGCAGCUUGUAGAUCAUAGUACAAGUUAUCUCCAUUGACGUGCGUCUAGUGUGGAGAAGCCAUGGUUCAGAGACUUAGAGUGAGCUCCUGACAUUCAGAGUAUUACUCAUCUCUCUUAUGUAUUAGACUAAUAUCUUUGUUACAUGCAGAGAUAAGUUAUAUCAGGCUAAUUCUCUUGAUAAUUCACUUUUGUACUCUUAUUAUAUUUAAAAGUUCUUGUACUGAUACCACCAGGUUUUCAGAUUCUAUUAUGUAUUGAUUUUUAUGUCAAUUAUUCCAUAUUUUUUUCUUCGUUGAGUAGUCGGUUACUAGCCAUUCCAAACUACGAGUUAGCCUGCCUACUGGUGGGUUAUGGUGGGCACUAUCAUGACCUGAGAAAUUGGGUCAUGACAAAUUGGUAUCAGAGCCUAGGUUUCAUCUAUGUAUUAUUACAAGAGUUAAGUGUUAGCAGAGUAUGAGAUUGGGUAUCUUGUAUGGUCCAAGAAUUUUCCCAUGCCAUAAUAUUUUGAGCUAGAUUUUAGUGCAUGAAUUUGUUAGAGGGUUAGUACUGUCACUCCAUUUGGCGUCAGAGCACCUGAUUACAACCGAAUCUUCUUUCUCUCAGGGUGUUGAUCAUGAGAGAACCAUAGAGAGCUCAAGUAUUGAGAUUUAUGGAAAGGGUGACAAGAGGCUUAUCAUAAGUAUAGCACUAUUGGUAUUUUAUUCGAGAGUGAGGAUCCCUCCGGUAGAGUUCAGCUUCACCUGUAGCUCAUCAGCUCUAUGCAGACAGUAUUCUAUACUAUAAGUAGUUUUUAGAUUAGUCGUGAUAAUCAUAGUGGGUAGAGUCCCCAUCAGACUUGCGGAGUGUGGCAUGCCCAUUGGGCAUAUGAUUGCGGAUGUUGCCAUGAUUGGUGUGUUUUUAGUUCUUGCCAUUAUCUCUUAUUAUAUGUAUUGAAAUUUUCAUACCUAUUGUGAUUAUAUGCCUUGAUGAAUUGAUAUCGAUUAUUAUGUGCCUUGUUAUUAAAUUCAUGAUUAUGUUACUACUUCAUGGUUUAUUUCUUUUAUUAGUGGAUGGAGUAGAUCUAUAUUGAUGUUGUUUCCCUAUGGGCGUGGUUUGUGUUCAAGUCCCAUUUAUCUUGGCACAUUAGCCCUGUUAUGGCCCUUGAGUGGUACAUGAUAGUGAUGUUCAUUUUGGUACCCCCUGUUCAGUAUGAUUGAUAUUGAUAUUACUAUUGCUAUUUUUACCAUUGCAUGAGGUUAUUGAUAUUACUUAAUAAUAUCACUUGCUGUUGUUUUUUGAUGUAAUUGAUUUUUCUUGGGUAGAUGUAUAAAUUAGUGUUAUCUAGUUAAACUUUCAUUUUCUUGUGAUAUUAUUUGGUGGCUCGAGUAGAUAUAACCCAAUUGAUGAUUUCUUUUCCCUAGCGCGGUGAUGUUGACUGUGUUCUCUCUUAGUUAGCUGUAUUAGAUUGAUUCAGGGAUGUAUUGUGAUAUUGAAAGGCAGCUUGACCUUUUGUGGCUCUGUUAUGACCUAGAGUUGGAAAUUUAGUUAUAUUGCCUAUUAUGAGUUUGAGAUUCUUAGACUUGCCUCUUGGAUUGCGAAGGUUUUCACUUUGGCUAUCUCUUUAUGACCUAUUUGUGAAAUAGACCUGUUUAAGGUCAGUCCUUGUUGGUGGAUAUUUUUUCAUUUGAUAGCGAUUUUGAUAUUAUGUUGAGAUGUCGUGAAUUCAUCUCAUAGGUAUGUUGGGUCCGUUCCCUUGGGAUGGGUUGCACUGUUGCUCCAUUGUUAUUGUUAUAUGGUUUUGUUUAGUAGAGUUGGAAAGUUAGAGGCAGGUGCCCUUUCUUGUGAUUGCUUCUUAAGUUGGAAAAUUGAAAAUUCUUUAUCUUGAGUUGUUGAUUUUCUAAUGGUGGUCUUGGAUUUGACCAUGGUUUCAAGAUUGGUAUAUUUCUUCUAUGAUGCGAUUCUUGGGUGGAUUUGGGAAAUCCUCAUUUCAAAGUUUGUUUGGCCUAAUGAGGCUUGGUGGAGUGUUUCUCGUUGAUGAUAUAUGUCUGUGGCUGUUCUUUGCUAAGAUAGAGCAUUAGAUUGAUUAAUUGUCGGCUAAAGUUGCAUUUCUCCGGGGUUCUAGAGUUUUUUCCAAUAUUGGAGUGGUUUUAAUCUUUGGGAAGUUUUGGAGUGUGUUUGUAUAGUUCUUGUUCUCCAGCGGUUAUGGAGUGGGUUAUAUUCAUUUUCGGCUAGUGAUGUAUCCCUUUGUAUGAUUUCUAUUUUGCGAUUCUAUUUCAUGCCCUCCAAUUGAUAUAGAUUUGGUUGCUUGGUUAUCAGUCAGUGGUUAUUCCUGUGGUGAUUUUGUUCUUCAGAUAUGUCCAGAUUGUGGUGUGGUAUGACUUAUCUUAGGUAUGUAAGAUUUGGAUACUAGAGUCGAUUUGAGAUAGUUGACAUUGAUAUAGCCUUUUUGGCUAAGUUUUGAUUUGAUGCUUCAGAAUGAUGAUUUGGAAGUAUGAUAGAUUGGGAGCAUUAAUGCCUACCCAUUUUUAGUGUUUGUUUAGAUAUUUGAGACCGAGCGAUUUAGCCUUGGUAGUGAGAUUUUAGCUUGGUGUUGUUGACCUUGCGUGCAACUUUUGUUUUAGAAUUGCCUUUGUUUAGAUUUAAUUUAUAGGAUGGCUGAGCCUACUCCAUGGUUGCCUAUUUGGUUAUCUCGACGUCGGUUGGAUUAUAAUUGAUAAACAUUCAGAUGAUAGCCCAUGGGAUCCAUAUGGGUUAUUUUAGUUCUGAUCCUGAGCUUCAGUUUUGUUUGAGAAUUUUGGAUGAUUUAAUAAAUAGGAGUAAUAUUCUCGAGUUGGAUUCAGUGUUUUAUUCCCGGUGAUGAGACAUCCUGGAGCAGAAUAUUCAUUGAUUAGUAGUUAUACCUUGGACUUCAAAAUUUUUGUUUGAUUGUCAUCCGUACUAGUUGCAGCAUUGGCAUGGAUUGCAUUGCUUAGUUAUCUCUGUUGGUGUGCUUAGACGUUGCCUUAUGAGCUUAUUUUCUUGUUUCCCGUAUGGACUUUCAGCUAAUCAGCUUCAGUUCUUUAAGUUCUUCGUGAUGAGGCUGUGUGGAUGGGACUCAAGUGAUUUUUCCUCCUGGCUGGAGUAGAUAGCAUGUGCAAAAUGGUAAAUGGAGCAUAUAUAUUUGGAUUUGGAUUUGGUGGCAUGAUUCAUGAUUUGGGUUGGCCUUAGCUCAGAUGAGCCUUUGUUGAUUUAUGCGGGUAUAGAGAUAGUAUUAGCGUGAUGUGAUUCAGAUGUAUAUGCAUCAACUUUCUUAGUUCAGUUUGAGGCUAGGUAGCAGUGAAUUUUUGGCUAUUUGAAAGUAGAAUGAAAGUGUUGGUUAAAAAAAAUAUACCCGAGGCAAAAUUCCUCAAAAAUGUUUUCUCCCUGCCGAGGUUAUCUGGGAAGUCAUGCUUAGAGCAUGCAGGACAGUACCUUAUCCCUUUGAGCCUUUGAGAUUCUUUCUAUUCAUUGACUUUCGGGGACGAAAUUCCUUUAAGUAGUAGAUAUUGUAAUGUCCCUUCAGAUCAUUUUCCAUAUUUAUGCUUAUUUCCGCCGUUUGAGCUUCUCCAUAGCUGCCCCAAGUCAUUUAUGACUUACUGAGCCUGACGGUUCGGUUAUCGAACAGUUUAUUUGGCUUUUAGAGCUAAUUCCCUGUUUUGAAGUCUUUGCUGGUUUUAAGUGGUCACCGAGCAAAAACAUCAGUGAAACAAUCUCGAAUGUAAAUUCUGAUUGGACCAGCAGAUUCAAAAUAUUGAUUUUAGGCUAGGUAGACUAGUGGUUCGGGUCCCAAUGCACCCGAGCUGAUUUCGACCUAUUUAUCGAAAAGCUAGAAAAUCAAAAAUAUUGGUGUGGGACCCAUAUUUAGAAGAAACGACCUUGAAUGUAAAAUUUAGCUUUGUCAGCAGAUUCAGAAUAUCAAUUUUAGGAUGAUAACAUGUUUGGUGUGAUUUUACGGCUUUAAAAUCUUAUUUUGACCCUCGGUUUGGAAAAUUGUGAUUUAAGAUUUUGGGGGUCAACUUUGUGAAAACAAUAUUUUUUUUGAAAAUUUGAUAUCUCCAUUAAGUUUGGAGCGUCGAAUUUAGCAUGGUUACAUAGUUUGUUUGCGUAUGUCCAGCUCAGAAUGAAUUUCGAACACCUCGUAGAAAUUCGUCCGGAAGGGGGAAAAGCUGUAAAGAUGUUUUGAGCUCAUUUUGCUCAUUUUUCAUCUUUCCUCUUGAGAGUUAAACCCUAAAAUAUCAUGGGAUCUUAAAAAUGAAACUAGUGGGCUCGGAAAGCUAGAUUAGCAUCUAUUUCUUGAUUCUAUUACAAAUUUAAGGUAAGAAUUCACUCUUUUCUUAGAAAUUUUUUGAUUAAUUUCACAAAACCCCAAAAAUCUUAGGGCUUGAUUUUAAAUCCCGAUUUCACUCCUUUUCACUUGAAUAAUAUUUUUGUUUUAGAAUUACUAGUUUUUCAUCAAUUUAACCUUCAAAAUAACUCCAAUUUUUUAUUUUAAUCUGGAUUUCAAAGAUUUUACCCGGUAAAACUCAAAAAUGAUUUUUCUUUGAUUUGAACCUCGUUUUUGACUCGAUUUGACUUGGGUUUUCUGCUGUAGGUUUCUAAAAAUAUGUGAAACAUGUUUUUGAAAGGAAGUUCUAAUUUUGCCUUUCUUUUUUGGUAACCCAUUUUGGGGUUCCGUUUAGAUCCCGAACCAAAAGUAGUCAAUAUGGAUAUCGUUAGACUCAUAUUGAUGAGUAGAUUUUUAUUUCUAUAGUGUGAUGGAAUUUUUGGAUUGUGAAGUGAAGAUGGGCGCUUGGAGAAUGAGUUGAGGUUUUGCGGUUCGUCCUUGAGGUAGGCUUCUGUCUACUCUUCUCCAUAGAUGAUGUGUGAUAUAUAUUGCAUGUGAAUAUGAAUGUUAGCUUUGAUUAUUCAUAGAAUGAAUUGGUAUUAAGUAUUGAAGUUUUGGAAAUUAGAUGAGGACUUUGGACCCGUAAGGUGGUAUGCUUAUGACCUUUUAGAAUCUAAUUGCCUUUUCCCAAGAUUGGACUAAUUUGUAGCAUGAAUAUGAUGUGAUGCUAGGUUUGGGAUGUGUUUUAAGUCUUGAAAUCAUUAUUAGUAUGAUUAACCUUAGUUGGGCUAGUCUAGUGGUCUUGAAAUCGUAAUUUGGGUAGAGUUGACUUAAAUGCUCAUGUUUUUAGAUGAAGUUCCUGUCUUAGGAUUGGUUAUGGCUUACUUGACAUCUAAAAGUGAACUAGAUACCUUAGCCUAGUUUGGGGGAGUAGAUUUCCUAAAUAUGGAAAUAGAGGAAUAGAAGCAGGUUCGUCCGACCCACUAAGGCCAAGACUUGUAUAAGCCCUUGUGAACUUAGUUGCGGAUGUUAGGCCUAGUUGAGACUAAUGCACCUUAUUUAUGAGAUUUUCUUGGUGAAUUAAUAAAUUGUGAUGACUUUUACUGAAUUAUGAUUAAUGGCCGAUAGAGAUGUUAAUUCCUCAUAGAUACGAUAUUGGGCUUUUAGAGACGCUAUUUCCUCUUAGAUAUGAUAUAUGACCUAUAGAGACGAUAUUCCUCUUAGAUAUAAUGAUUGGCCUAGAGAGGUGAUAUUAUUUAUAGUCAUGAUAUAUGACCUAUUGAUAUGAUAUAUCCUAUGUGAUAGAUAAUUAUAUGCUUAUUAUUAUCAUAUAUGAUUUAUGCGAGAUACCUCCUAUAUGGGAGAUGAUUAGAGAUAUGCUAUGGCUUAUAAAUAUGAUUACAAAUAUGAGUUCCAGAUAUGUAUAUGGGCUGAAGGCUGUGAUUAUGUUAUUAUGAUCAUUCCAGAUGUAUUAUUGGACCGAAGACCAUUUUAAGAUAUUGGUUGGAUAUCCUGGAAAUGUUUAUCCUUGUAAAGGAUGUAGUUACAGUUUAUGAAUUUAUAUCUAUGUGCAUAUACACAUCUAUCCGGUAUGGGAUGAAGAAAUAUGCAGUGUGAUGCUUAUUAUUCCACUGUUUGAAUACUGGUGAUGGCAUGCAUAGAUUCGGUACAUUCAUGAUUAUUAUAUCAAUAAUUGACGUGAUUCUACAUACGAUACACUCUUAUGACCGUUCUUCCUAAUUAAGUGUUCAACUAUGUGGUAAUUAGUUUCCUAUUAGAUGUCUAUAGCACUUGAUGACUAGGAGUUUACUGAACUAGUUAAUGAACCUUGCUUAGUUGAAUUAUGGUACCUAGUGAUAGGUGAUGCAUGGUUAAUGGUGUUGUCGAGUUUAGCAAAGGUGAAUAUUAGCUGUUAUUAAUGACUAAGUUUACGAUGCCAUUUAGUUGUUAAAUAAGGAUUUAUGUAUUUAUGAGGUUAGAUAAUAAAAGAGAUAUUGAUAAGAGAUCACUAGUUAAUAAUGAUUAACAGAUAUAGGUUGAUAAGUGUUUGAAUAAUGAUAGUGGCCUUUUUCUAGAUGAUGACUAGUGAAUUAGUGAUGCAAUAAUGAGUACUAAUUCGUUCACAAUGGGUAGAUAGAAUAUAUUGAUGAGAUAGUUAUCUUUAUGGUGUUACCUUUAUGGUUAUGAGUACUUGAUUUAUGUUGUUCUUUUACGUUAAUUGAUGAUGAUAUAUUGAUACCCGAUAAAAUCGGAGGAUAGUAUGAUGAUAUAUUGAUGCCUGGAAAGGUAGGAGGAUAUUAUGAUGAUAUAUUGAUACCCGACAAGGCCAUAGUAUACUAUGAUGAUAUAUUGAUACCGACAAGCCUGGAGGAUACUGUUAUGAUACAUUGAUACCCGGCAAGGCCGAGGGAUACUAUGAUGAGAUAUUGAUACCCAACAAGGACGGAAGUUGAUUACAAUGAUGAUGGUCAUGACGAUGAUAGUUUUGAUGAGUUGUGAUAUUGAUUGUGUAUCUUUCUUUCAUUCCUGCAUGUGCAUCACCUAUCACCAGUAUUUGCCUAUGUUUAUUAGUCGGUAUAGGAUGGUUGCAUAGAUAUGGGUGAAGAAUAUGCCUUGUGCUAUUGUGUGUUGAUUGAAACUUCUUAGUCUGGGGUGGUGGAGGUACUGUAACGCCUUGAAAAUCUAUCCCGAGAUAUCACACGGCUCUUAGAACCACGAGUGGUCCCAAGCUAACCCUUCUACUGGCAUAACUCAUAAGCAACUGAAUAAUAUGUAUAAAAUGACUGAGAUUACUGUGCGGAAACAUAAUAAUGAUGGAAUCUGAGAAAAUUACAAUAUUGAUAUUACUUUUACAUUCUGAUGAAAUCUGAAAGAGGGACUGAAAAAUACAUAACUGACUCUAACUAACAUCGAUGAAGCCUCUACUAUACUGACUAUAGAUAGCUGGGACGAGACUACAACUAUCACUAAUCAAUACAUAUGAAUAAGAAAAUAAAAUACAUAAUUAACAUCUAACUAAAGUCCCCGAAGUGGGAGAACUCAUCAUCUCGCAAGCUGGAAUCUGCAACUAUCUGAAUCUGAGUGUGCAUACUAAAACUUUUACCUACAUUAUGAGACAAUGUAGCACAUAGACGUAUAUGUGGAUCAAUACUUUGAGGCUGUACUGAGUAUAUGGGGUGAAAUGCAUAAGUAAAACAUCAUCUCCUAAUCAUAAUUUGUAAAACAAUGCAUGCUAAAUGUAAAUGACUCACAUAAGCUGGGAUAUCUAAAAUACUAAAAUCUGAAGCAAUAAGAGAAAUUCAUACUUUAUAAAUAUAGUGAGUCAUAACAUUUAGUUCUAAAAGCUGUACUUGUACUCUCCAUUUAAAUCAUACUGUCUAAUUGUAGAAAGGAAUCACUCUAAAUCUGGAAUUUAAAAGCAGAAAACUGUAGUAAUAUCUUUCUGUGAGGCAUAAUCUGAGUAAAACUUGUGAGUCUUGACGCUUAGUUUUUCUGAAAACUUUUCUGUCACUCUUUCUGUUCUAGAAUCUGUAGUCUGUAAGCUUUAAAACUUUUAGGGAAAAAUACUUUAUCUGAAGGGAGAUACUUUAAAAGUAAUCUGAAAAUCUUUCAAAGCUUUAGGGAAAAAUAUUUCAUCUUAAGAGAGGUUCUCUUAACCAACAUAAACCAUGCGAGCUACAUGGUGUCCAACGUCUCGUCCUUCUAAGGAAGAAACCUUACAUUGGGGAGAGGUGUCAUACUCUUGCCAGGGAGCACUACCUCAGCUAAAGUGAUCACAACUCCGCCCACUACGGGCACUCAAAUCUCAAUCCUAUGGUGUCACAUAGUUCUGGGGCAUGAGACCUUGAAAUCAUACCCAACUCGAUGCUAAAUACUACUCCCUUUAAUUAGCUACACUCAUCUCAUGGAAAUCUACUUUAAAACUAGCAUAAGGGUUCAUUAUGAAACCAAUUAUGCAUUUAUCUGAAUAAAUCUAUAAAUGAAGCUAUUUAACUUUCUGUAAUCUGUAAUAAAUCUGUAUAAUGGAUUCCAAAACUCAUCUGAGGAUCAAAAGAUCAAAUCUUUAUUGUAAAACUGAAAUAAUAAACUCAUAAGAUGCUUAAAACAUCACUUUUCUCAAAAUCUCAACAUAUAACUUGGGGCUUAAAAAUCCAUGUAUCAAACCCAUGUCAAAAUAUCAUAAUAAUCAUGCUUACUAAUAAAAACAAUGAAAAUUCAUCUAAAAAUCUAGAAAUUUCUGCAAUAAGCAUGAAAAAUAUAAAAAUAAACAUGCAAUUCAACUUUAAAGUAUCUCAAAACUCAUAAUCUUUGCAAAUAGCAAUAAUGGGUAUGAACCCUAAUUCAAAUCUCAUGUAAUUUCAGUCAAAAUCAUGUAAAUUUAUAAUUGAAAAUUAAUUUUGGGCACAAUGAUGAAAGGGGUAUCCUUGUUCAUAACCCUACAUACCUUAAUAGAUGAUCUUUGAUGAAUUGAAUGCAAAAGCUUAAAUCUUGGACUUCUAUUGAUACUUUGGUGAUGAAUUCUGAUAGUUUUUGUAUUGGGAACCCUUAAUCUUGAAUUUCCUUGGAGAAUAAUUGGAGGAAUUUAAAUUUCUUGGGGAGGAAGUUUGAUGAUCUAGGAUUUUUCUUAUUGAGAGGAAAAGAUGAAUAAUGAGGUAUCUUUGCUUCUUUGGGGUGAAAUUAUGUGUUUUGGAUGGUUUUGGGGGCUUGGGAAUUGAUUAAAAUGUCCUCUUUAAACCCCCAAACGGAACUAAAAAAUGCAAUAUUUUUCCCUAUUUGGUUGGCCACCACGAUGCGCCACAAUCAUGGUGGAUCAUUGGAAAAGGAAGAACAGGAACUGGGUGCUCACUGCAACACGCCACAAUCACGGUGCUCCUUGCAUAGCCAUUUUGGCCCUUGGCACAAUGCGCCAGAAUAGCGGAGUCUCACUGGAAUGGGAAAAUUAAAAAAAUGGGCUUCUCCGCGAUGUGGGGCUAUUACAGAGGGCCACUGGAAUUUGACAAUUGCAAAUUUGUUUGGCUCCGCGAUGCGCUGAGAGUCCAGGUGACACACUGUCAACUUAAAAAUGCCAUAACUCCUUCACCGAGUGUCGAAUUUAGGAGAAUUUGGUAUCGAUGAAAAUAUUAUUCAAUUUCCUACACAAUAAAAGGUCUAAAUCUUGAAAAUACCUCUUGAAAAAAAUGGUAUUCAUCUUUGAAGAAAAUUCUUAACAUUCUAGGGGUGAAUUUAAGCUAGGAAAAAUAUGGGGUAUUACAGGUAAGCAUAUGCUCGGCUAGGUAUUUGGUUGUCCAAAGUAGCCGGUUAUUCAUGCUGAUAUUGAUAUUGUUAUUAUCAUUGUUAUGAUCAUUACUAUGGAUAACUUAUGAUAGAUUGUUCGUUGAUCUAGUAUUGGGAUUUGAGGGAUGUGUUCGACCUCUUCUAUCUUAUGAUUGCAUUAUUAUACACGAUUAUAUCAUGUCUAGCCAUGUGGGUUAGAAACCCUGAGUAUGAUGGUACUAAAUCCUGAUAGUAUUCUAAUGAGUUCUUAAUAUGAGAAUACGAUGAUCUAGGUUAUGCUUUGAGAUGACCUCAUAUCUAUAUAUAUAUAUAUAUAUAGCUACAUGAAGAUAUGGCAUUAUCGUAUAUCCCUCCCUUCGUUUGUUCUUAUUGUAUAUUCAUUUCUUCGUCCUAUGUAGUUCUAUAUAUCUUUCAUUCACCCUUUACUCAUAUAUUGUCUUAGGAUAUUCAGUACAACAUUGACAUCUAUUGAAUGUAGCUGGAAUUGAAUAGUUAAUCCUUGACGCUUCCUUAUUCUUAUUAUGUUUGUGUCUUGGACCUAAACAUGAUAGUUGUUCCUUAUUAUCUCAUUGACUUGUGAUAUGAUUUAUGGACUCUUGGGUGUAGUUUUCAUUCUGUUUAUAUGUUGUAUAUAUUUAUUUUAUCCUUGGAUCUCAGUUGAUAGUUGCCUACAAAGUACCAUUCGUUUGGUACUCAUACUAAACUUCUGCAGCUUGUAGAUCAUUGUAUGAGUUAUCGCCAUUAAUAUGUGUCUCGUACGGAGCAUCCAUAGUUUAGAGACUUAGAGUGAGCUCCUAAAGUUCGAAGUAUUACUCAUCUCUCUCUUAUGUAUUAGACUAAUCUCUAUGUUAUAAGUUGUAUCAGGGUAAUUCUCUUGAUAGUUCACUUUUGUACUCUUAUUAUAUUUAGAAGAUCUUGUACUUUUGGGAUUCUAUUAUGUAUUGAUAUUUAUGUCAUUUAUUCCAUAUUUUUUUUCCUUAUAUCAUUAAGUAGUUUGUUACUAUCCAUUCUAGACUACGAGUUGGCUUCCCUACUGAUGGGUUAUGGUAGGCACAAUCAUGACCUGAGAAAUUGGGUCGUGACAAAUACAUAGCAAGUUUCAAGUAGCUAUAAAUAUGAAUUGUAGCUCUAACCACAAUAUUCCAACAGUUUAGAUGGCACCUCUUAACUCUGAGAUGAUGGACUACCUACAAAACUUUCUUUUUGUGUGUGGAUUAAUGUAUUACUUAAUGUGCGGAUAACACUUAUUUCAGGUGACAUUAUUUUACUGUUGUUAUGUUUAAUUUAUUUAUUUUAUUUUUUCAAACUGGUCAAAAAUGUUUUAUUUUAAGUUAGUUCGCUCCAACUUCACUUGUAUGAUUACACUUUGAUAUGUUGUUGAGGUCUAUGUUUGUCUAUAAAAAAUGCAAGGACAAAACAAUGACAAAAACUUUCUAUUUCCAAGUAUCAAAGGAUACACAAGUUUAUUAAUGUGCUAUUUUCAAGCCCGAAGAGAAAGGAUUGACAUAGAAGUAGUGCCAAGAAAAAGAGCAAUAAAAGAUACCUUUUUUCAAGAAUGGCUGACCACCAUGUAUAUAUGUAUACCGGAAUCGGAAGAUAAAGACUCCAAUAAACCUUCAAAGAUUAAUGCAUUUGGGCUUGUGUCAUCAUUAUCCUGUUAUUGAAAAAACAACCAUUCCCAAUAAUACAUAUUUUUUCUAAAAACGUUAACUCUUAAUUAACAAUUUCAACACUUCUAUUCAAACACUUAUCAUUGAGUAGAUUCUAUAAAAGGCUGAUAUUAGUAACUUUAGAUUCAAUCACAUAUUUGGGAAAGAGAUUGUUUUGCAGAGCCUUAGGAAGGGAAUCUAAAGCAAAUAAAUGCAGCUAUUUCACUUCCUUCAUUGGUUAGAGCUACAUUAAAGUUAUAACAACAAAAUCUUUCAAAUUUCAGAUUCAGAACUAACUAAAUAAAUGUUAUGAUCUGAACUAAGGCCCUGGCCGUGAUGGGGAUCCCGAACCAUAAAGGCCCGAGAGACUCCUUAGCAUGUGAUCAUAAGUAUAACUCAAAUGGUAUGACAGUGCGAAAGAUAAACUAAAAAUAUAGUGGUACCGUAAACAAACUUACAGCUUCAGAAUACCGUAUCAAAGGGAAACCCAAAUCCAAUCUAAAAUACUCUACAAAGCCUCUAAUGAACUGAAAUGCAAGUUUGUCUAGACCAGCACAAGGCUCUGUCCAGACCAUAAAACUAAUAGAAACUACAUAAGAAGAAUAUGCCUUUCUAAGAAAGGGAGGCUCACCAACUCUAGAGUUCAAGAAGUAAUCUACUGCUGAGUUGGACCAUGAUAAUCUACCUCAGAACUUACAUUCUGAGACAAUGCAUCCACCACGAGGGACGGUCAAUACCUGAAAUGUAUUGGUAUGCAGAACUAAUAAAAAACAACAUGUAUUCCAUAUAAAAUAAUUGAGAGCAUUAAGUAAACAAUUUAACAUAAUAGAUAUAAAAAACACAUGGGCAUAAUUCAAGAUCUUUAAAACAUUCUUGUAAGUCAUGACUCAACUCUUUGUUUUAUGUAACGCCCUGAGUUUGUACCCCGGAUGCUACACGGUGCUUAUAAGCACGGAAGACCAUAAGUUAACCCAUGUAUGGUACCUACUGCAAUAAUUGUAUAAUAAUACCGAUUUAUGUGGAAAUUAGGUAGAAAACAUGCCAUAAGAUUCAAAUCUAAAUCAUAAAUCUGAGUACGGUAUCAAAGUACAAAAACAUGAAAAAAAUAUUGAAAUCUGAACAACUUUCUGAAAAUACUAUAGUUUGGAAAGCCUCUAAACUGUCUGAACUAUGGAGUUGAUAGAACAGGCACCCAACUAACUCUGACUACUGAAAGUAAUACUAAAAUACCAAAAUAAAACAUGUCCUCAAAAAAUGAGGACUCACCACUGACUUUGUCUAAUGGAAUCUGAUCUGCUAGGGGUGCUCUGGAGCUCGUAUGUCUAAACCUAUAAUAUAAGACAUCAUAGCACAAAAAGCAUGCAUCAAUACUUUGAAUGUACUGGUAUGCUCAGUGAGGUAGGCUGAAUAAAUGGGUUAAUAUGCAUGAACGAUACUAACUGAAUAACAUGAGUAUAACUGAAUGAUGGUACAUGCAUGAAUACAUAAACUGUAAUUUGAAAACAUGAUAGUAUUGAAUACUGAAUCUGAAUACUGAUUUAACUGAGGUUUAAGUUUACUGAUACGGUAUUACAGUUUACUGGGUGACUGAAUCUAAUAGUCCUGAUUCUGAGGAACUAUACUAAGUGUUGUAAUGAACUGAGUGACUAUAUCUGAUAGUCCUGAAUCUGCAGAACUGAACUAAGUUCUACACUAAGACUGAAUCUGAAACUAAAAUUGUUGGAGGUAAUCAUCUAAUUGAUAUGCCCCUUUUUUCGAAUAUAUUUUGGGUCCAACCUAUAACCCCAGUUGAAAGGGUGUCAGUACCGUGCCACGAGUAAAGACACUGAAAAGGUAUCCUCAUCUGGCAGGUACUCUAAUGAUAACGGUGGAACCCUCAACUGAUUGGUUAAAGUACCUCAUCAACCCUGAACUGGAAGGUUUGAUGUCUCAAACUACGCUGACUACAUAGUUUUGGAACGCAAGGAUUUCUUCUAAGAAUCACACCCUCUACUGGUAGGUGAGUCCCCAUACUUGGGUUCACUCAGUGCUGAAUCCUACUCCCAACUGAAUAAACACUGUACUAAUUUCUAAACUGCUACUAAUCAUCUAAUUUCUAAACUGCUACUAAUCAUACUGUCUAACUAAACUAAACUGAGCUCACUGAGUUCUAUUGAUUGACGGAAUACUAUUGAGCUCUGAAACUGACUGAGGUUACUGAGGCCUGAACUGAAUACUGAACUGGACUGAAUCGAUACUGAGUUUACUGAGUUAUCUUAAUUUCUGAAACUGAAUAAGAGUACUAUUGAUCGUGACUUGAUUGAGACUAUUCUAUAACUAACACUGUCUCUAGGUAUACAGCCAAGUUGUUGGGUAAUAUAUACCCUCAGGACUCGAUAGCGGAAAGAGCAAAGUAUAACAUAAAUCUUGAAAGCACAAUAAUGGUCACAUGUUCAUAUUUCACUUGCUACGACAUUUCAUCAAACACUUGUAAAUCUUGAACUUGCACAUAUAUAGGAAUGCAUACAAACAAGUCAUAAGUACACUAACAAUUCACAUAGGCAUUCCAACAAAUAUUUUCUAGACAUGGCUUUAACAUGGUAGUCAUUUUUGAACAUGUAGUUCUAGCAUGAAGUCAUCAUAAGAUCACCUAUGGAUCACAAAACAUAAUUUAUUCACUAAGGCAUUUUGACAAACAUAUAAGAAUCAUAACCUUAGGCUUGGGCAUGAACAAAUAAACCAAUCCAUCAUGGCAAUAUUAAUCAAAUCUAUUUCAAGGAUUUCAACCUAUUAAAGAUAUCAUCUUGUAAAUCAUACCAUAAGACUAACAUGAGUACAAACAAUCCACAACUUGGAAAUAAUGAUUCACGAUUUUUGAAAAGGGAUUCUUGAACUCCAAGGGUGAAAAUGGCCCUUAGAUGAACACUUUACAUACCUUAGUGCCUGAAUUUCUAAAAGUUAAUGGUGGAACCUUGAGUUCUUUGUUUGAAAUUGAAGCUUCUAGGGUUUUGUUCUUGAGAAAAUUUGAGAAAGAAUGUUUUAUUUGCUCCCUAAGAUGAUUAAUUUCAUGUUUAGGGGGAUGAAGAUUGAAGGAAAAAGACCUAAAUACCCGCAAGGAUGUGCUAUUUUAAUGACUAAAAACUGUACCAUCAACAUGCAGACUGACGUGCCACUUCGUUGGCAUCGAUGUGAUAGCCAACACUUCGCAUCGAGUUUGCAUCGACUUACUGGAAAUUGAUGCUAGGAACUUGGAAAACAUCUAUCAACAAGAUAGUCGACGCGGCAUGCCAAGAUCGCGUUGAUCCACUAUUUUAGGAUUCCAAAAGAGCUUUAAACAAGGUUUAAAAAAUCCGAAACUUGUCUGGAAACACCUACGGACAUUCCUGAUCAUGAAUUAACCUAGAUAUCAAUAUUUAAGGGAUGUAGAGGCCAUGAAAUAAGAUUUCCAACUUUUGAAGGAAAGAAUGACUCUAAGUCUGAAUACUUAGCUAGAAUAUUCUAAGUUUGGCACCCCCUUAGCAAGCUUAAAGGAAUGAAUUAAGCUAGAAAUUUUGUGGGGUCUUACAUUAUCUCCCCCUUAGGAAUAUUUGUCCUCGAAUGAGACUGGAUAAGCUGAGAAUACUAGUAGGCUGAAUCUAUAUUUUGGACAUGAACAUCUGGAACAUAACUAUAUGACUGAUAUUACUGAUAUACUGAAUUUUCAUAUUGAACAUGUAUAUCUGAUGCAUGAGUACAUAGAUGAAAAUGAUUUAUGAAUGCUUGAUUGGGAAUACUGAUAAGUUGAGUUUAUAUACUGAACAUGCAUAUCUGAUGCAUGGAUACAUAACUGAACUGGCUCAUGAACAUAUAACCAAAUAUGAAAUGGUGACUAAUACCAAGUUUUGCAACUGAAAUCUGGACAUGAAAAUGGAUAAAAUUAAGGAAAAAUAUUACCUUAGACUGUGUCUGAGUUUGCAGAGAAGAGGUGAGGAUACUUGGUACGCAUGUCUGCUUCUGCUUCCCAAGUAGCUCCCUCUAUGGACUGAUUCUGCCAAAGAACUUUGACUAGAGGGACUUCUUUGUUCCUCAGUCUAUAAAUCUGAUAGUCAAGGAUUUUGACAGGAAUCUCUUCAUAAGAGAUGCUGUUCUGAAUAUCUAUACCCUCAAUAGGGACCACGAAUUCUGGGUCACUUAUGCAUUUCUUUAACAAGGAGACGUGGAAUACUGGAUGAACUGAAGAUAGUUCUAAAGGUAACUUAAGCUUAUAAGCUACCUUUUCGAAACGACUGAGAAUUCAGUAAGGACUGAUAUACCAGGGACUGAGCUUCCCUUUCUUGCCAAACCCCUUCACUCCUUUGAUCGGAGAUAUUUUCAAGUACACAUAGUCACUAAUCUCGAGCUCGAGAUCCUUCCUACGCACAUCUGCAUAUGAUUUCUAUUGGUUUUGAGCUGUCUUAAGCCUUUCCCUGAUCAACUGAACUUUCUCUAAGAUAUCAAAUACCAAAUCCGGCCCUACCACUACGGCCUCACCAACUUUAAACCAACCAAUGGGAGAUCUAUAUCUCCUCCCAUAGAGCACCUCAAAUAGAGUCAUCUAAAUGAUGGAAUGAUAGUUUUUGUUAUACGCAAACUCAAUCAAAGGCAAACAGUCAUCCAAACUACCUUUAAAGUCUAUCGCACGCACGCUCGUAACAUAUCUUGUAAAGUCAAGAUGAUCCUUUCUACUUGACCAUCUGUAUGAGGAUGGAAGGCUGUACUGAGAUGAACUUGGGUACCAAGACUCUUUUGGAAUGCUUUCCAGAAAUGAGAGGUGAACUAGGUACCUCUAUAUGAGAUAAUGGACAAUGGAAUACUGUGUAAUCUGACCAACUCCUUGAUAUAGAGUUUAUCAUAAUCCUUGGCUGAAUAGGAGGUAUAGACUAGGAGAAAAUGAGUUGAUUUGGUCAUCCUAUCUAUAAUGACCUAAACUGAAUCAUGUUGAUGAUGAGUAUGAGGAAAACCCGUCACAAAGUCCAUGUUCACUUCUUCCCACUUCCAGGUACGAAUAUUGAACUCCUAUAUAGAUCCACUAGGCCUCUGAUGCUCAAUCUGAACCUGCUGAGAUGUUGAGCACUUAUCCAAAAACUCUAUAAUAUCUCUCUUCAUCCCACUCCACCAAUAGAUCUCCCGCAAAUCAUGGUACAUCUUAGUGGCCCCUGGAUGAACAGAGUAGUAUGCACUAUGCGCUUCUGCAAGAAUUUUCUGCCUCAAGUCAUCUACGCCUGGCACAUAUUGCCGACCCUAGCAACGCAACACAUCAUCUCCUCCUUGGGAGAAAACCUCUACCUUCUAAUUUCUAACUAAUUCUUUUAACUGGACUAGACUGCGAUCCCUAUCCUACUUUUCCUUUACUUCAAAAACUAGGGAUGAUUCUGAGCUACUCUACACCCAUACACUACCUUUUGUUGAAUCGACUAAGAGAACACCUACUCGGGCUAACUGAUGAACUUCCUAGGCUAACUUCUUCUUAUUAUCCUUAACAUGGGCAACACUACCAUAGACAUUCUACUGAGAGCAUCAUCCAUUACAUUGGCCUUGCCCGGAUGGUACAACAUACUUAUGUCAUAGUCUUUCAACAAUAUUAACCACCUUCUCUGAUGGAGGUUAAGAUAUUUUUGAGAGAAUACAUAUUGCAGGCUCUUAUGAUCAGUGAACACAUCCAAGUGCAUACCAUAAAAAUAGUGCCUCCAAAUCUUUAAGGCAAACACUACAACUACUAACUCAAGAUCAUGAGUAGGGUAGUUCUUCUCAUGGGGAUUAAGAUUUCUAGUGGUAUAGGCUAUGACCUUACCUCUUUGUAUCAACACAAAACCUAAUCCAACUCUAGAAGCAUCACAAUACACAACAAAGCCAUAAAAGCCACCUAGUAGGGUCAAAAUCGGUGUUGUAGUGAGUCGAGUCUUCAACUCCUAAAAACUCUUCUCACAAGAAUCUGACCACUGUAACUUGAAUUUUUUUUGAGUCAACAUAGACAUAGGGGGUACAAUAAAGGAAAAUCCCUCAACAAAUUAUCGGUAAUAGCUGGCCAAACCCAAGAAACUCCUAAUAUCUAAUAGAGAGAUGGGUCUGGACUAGUUUACCACUGUCUCGGUCUUUUGGGGAUCUACUCUAAUGCCAUCACAAAAAUGAUAUGGCCAAGGAAAUCUACUAACCUUAGCCAAAAUUUGCAUUUACUGAAUUUGGCGAAUAGAUGAUGAUUUCUGAGGGUCUGAAAUACUAUUCUGAGAUGGUAUGCAUGAUCUUGUUCACUAUGGAAGUAGACAAGAAUGUCAUCUUUGAAUACUAUGAUGACCAUGUCCAAGUACUACUUGAACACUCGGUUCAUCAUGUCCAUGAAGGCUACUGGGGCAUUGGUAAGACCAAAGUACAUGACUAAGAAUUUAAAGUGGCCCUACCGAGUUUGGAAAACUGUCUUUGGGAUGUCACAUUCUCUGACUCUAAGCUGAUGAUAGCUUGAUUUGAUGUCUAUCUUAGAAAAGUAACUCGUACCCUAAAGCUGGUAAAAUAAGUCAUUUGUUCUGGGAAGUGGAUACUUGUUUUUUAACCAUGAAUUUAUUUAACUGACGGUAGUCAAUACAUAUUCUUAGAUAACCACCUUUUUUAUGCACAAAUAGAACUGGUGCACCCUACAGGGGCACACUAGGUCUGAUGAAUCCUUUAUCUAAGAGAUCCUUUAACUGUUUCUUUAAUUCUCUGAGUUCUAAAGGUGUCAUUCUAUAUGGUGAAAUCGAAAUAGGCUAAGUGUCUGGAAGGAGUUCGAUUUUAAAAUAAAUUUUCCUUUUGAGAGGAACUCCUGGAAGAUCUUCGGGAAACACAUCUAGGAAUUCGCAAACUACUGACACUGAUUUAAGAGUAGGGGUUUCUGAACUAGAGUCCUGGACUCAAACAAGAUGGUAGACACAUCCCUUAGAUAUUAUUUUUCUAGCCCGAAGGUAAGAAACAAGCUGACCCCUGAGUGCUGAAGUACUACACCUCCACUCUAGGAUGGGUUCAUUUAGAAACUGAAACUAGACAAUUUUGUUUCUGCAGUUGACUGAGGCAUAGAAGGAAUAAAGCAAAUCCAUGAUGAGAAUGGCAUCAAAAUCAUCCAUCUCUAGUUUGACUAAAUCUAUUGAUGUGACUUUUUGAGAUUUCAUAACCGGACAGUUCCUAUAUACCCGCUGGGCUAUGAUUGAUUCAUCCAAUGGGGUGGAGACUGAGAAUGUAUUUGAUAGAAUUUUUGGACUAACUCCAAAAUCAACUGCUAUAUAAGGAGUAACAAAGGACAAGAAAACUUUUGGAUCUAGCAAAGCAUAAAUAUGCAAAUGAUAAAAUUGUAACAUACCAGUGACCACAUUAGGAGAACUUUCCUGAUCCUGUUGGGACUGAAGAGCAUAGAGUCUAUUUGGGCGCUGCCCACUGGUGGAACCAAAUGAGGCACCCUGCUAAUUCAGGCAAUCGAACUGAGUUAGAGUACGGUUACGUGGACCCUGGGAACCUGACUGGGGAUAAUUUUUGACUCUGUGGCUUGGUUUGCCACAUCUGAAACAAAUAUCACUUCUUUCCCUGUAGAUACCCUGAUGAUUUCUGCUACCCUGCUGGCAGAGAGGAUUUUUUCGGGCACUGCUAACAUUGCCCUGAGGCUUGGGGCCUGAUGCCCUAUCUCAGUUGCCAUUUCUGGAACUGAGGAUUGCUGGUGGAACUGGGAAUGAUUCCCACCCUCUGACUUAGGCUGGGCAAAGCUGAAACUACCUAUUUUAGCUCUCUUGUUUUGGUUCUCUCUCCUUAUUUUUUUGUUCUUCUAUCUACUGUGCUUGGACCAUCACCCUAAAUAAGUCUAUCUCACUAAUUAGCAUUUGUAGUUCUACACUCCUUAACCUCACUAUUAUUCACUCCAGACAUAAAUUUGCUCAUCUUAAACCUGCUAUCUGCUACCACAUGAGGAGCAUAUCUAGCUAAUUGAAUAAACUUUAGAGAACACUCUUUCACCAUCAUGUUGCCCUACUUUAGAUUAUUACAUUCCAAAACCUUUGCUUACCUCAAAUCCUAUGGGAAGAACCUAUCCAGAAAAGUAGUGGCAAACUCCUCCCAUUCUAUGGGCCCUGCAUCUGUGGCUCUCUCUGCUUUUCACUAUUUAAACCAUGAGUGAGCCAUAUCCUAUAGCUGAUAUAAAGUUAACUCAACACUCUUACUAGCUGUUACCCCCAUAAUAUCAGUAAAUUUCUGCACCUAGUCAAGAAAUUCCUGAGGGUCCUCAUCUGAUUUAGACCCGAUAAAAGAUGGAGGGUUCAUUUGGGUUAAAUUCUUAAUCCUGGCAGCAGCAGUAUUGGCCACUGGAUUGGCUGGAAGAACAGCUGGACGCUUAUUCUAGGCUACCAAAGCAUGGGCUAGGGUGGUAAAAGCUAUUUUGAACUCAGCGUAGGAGACAUGUUCGUCCAGAGAAUCUAGAUGAAUGGGCUGAAGUUCUGGAUGGUCUCCCAUUCCUUUUACCUUAGUUCUUUUGGGAAGCAUGAUCUAUAAAUAGAAGAGAAAUUGAAUUAGAUAGAGAGUUUAACUGGAGAUCAUGCUUAAUUGUACGAUGUGAAUACUGAAGGAAUGGAAACUAUUCAUAAAAAUAUCUCGCAGCCUCCUAUCCAAAAGUGUGGCACACUUCAUACCCAUGCACAAAACUCUACUAGAUGCGGCUUCCAGACUUCCUAGGACUCUAUUGAACUUUAGGCUCUAAUACUAAGUUUGUAACGCCUCGAUUCUAUAUCCCAGAUGCUACAUAGUGCUCAUAAUCUCGAAGGACCACAAGCUAACUCAUGAUUGGUACCUGCUAUAAUAACUAAAUAAUAAUACUGUAAUUAUGCUAAAAUUAGGUGGAAAUAUGCCACAAGAUUCAAAUUUAAAUGAUAACUCUGAGUACGGUAUCGAAGUACCAAAACAUGUACAAAAUAUUGAAAUCUAAAUAACUGUCUGAAAAUACUAUAGUUUUGAAAAGCCUCUAAACUGUCUGAAGUAUGGAGUUGAUGGGAUAGGCCCCCAAAUAACUCCAACUACUGAAAGUAAUACUAAAAUAUCAAAAAAAAACAUGUUCUCGAACUAUGAUGACUCACCAAUACCUCUGACUGUUGGAAAUCUAAUAUGCUAGGGGUGCUCUGGAGCUUAUUCAUCUAAACUUAUGAUAUAAUACAUCACAGCACAAAAAACUUGCGUCAGUAAUUUGAAUGUACUAGUAUGCUCAGUGAGGUAGGCUAAAUACAUUGGUUCAUAUGCAUGAACAAUACUAACUGAAUAACAUGAGUAUGAUUGAAUGAUGGUACAUGCAUGAAUACAUAAAUUGUAAUCUAAAAAUAUGAUAGUACUGAAUACUAAUCUGAAUACUGAUUUAACUGAGGUUUGAUUUUACUAAUACUGUAUUAUAGUUAAAUAGGUGACUUUAUCUGUUAGUCCUGAUUCUAAGGAACUAUACUGAGUUUUGUACGGAACUGAGUGACUAUGUCGGAUAGUCCUGAAUCUAUAGUACUAAACUAAGACUGAAUCUGAAACUUAAACUGUGGGAGGUAAUCAUCUAACCAACAUGCCUUUUUUUAAAUAUAUUUAGGGUCCAACCUAUAAACCUAGUUAGAAGGGUUUCAGUACCAUGCCAUUGGUAAAGACACUGAAAAGGUACCCUCAUUUGGAAGGUACUCUAAUGAGAAUGGUGGAACCCUCAACUGACAGGUUAAAACACCUCAUCAACCCUCAACUGGCAGGUUUGAUGUCUCAACCUGCGUUGUCUACGUAGUUCUAGAAUGCAAGGAUUUUUUCUAAGAAUCACACCCUCUACUGUCAAGUGAGUCCCCAUCCAUAGGUUCAUACGGUGCUGAAUCGUACUCCUAAUUGAAUAUACACUGUACUGAUUUCUAAACUGUACUAGACUGGACUAAACUGUUACUGAUUGUAUUGUCUAACUGAACUGAAUUAAGUUCACUAAGUUCUGUUGACCGAUAGGAUACUACUGAUCUCUAAAACUGACGGAGGUUACUGAGGCCUAAACUGAAUACUGAACUGGAUUGAAUCGAUAGUGAGUUUAUUGAGUUUCCUGAGUUCUAAAAUUUACUAAGAAUACUACUGAUCGUGACCUGACUGAGACUAUCUAUAACUGACACUGACUCUAGGUAUACAACUAAGUUGUCAGGUAAUAAAUACCCCUAGGACUCGAUAGCGCAAAGUACAAAGCAUAACAUAAAUCUUGAAAGCACAACAAUAGUCACAUGUUCAUAUUUCACUUGCUACGACAUUUCAUCAAACACUUGUAAAUCUUGAACUUGCACAUGUAUAGGAAUGCAUACAAACAUGUCAUAAUUAAACUAACAAUUCACGUACUUUCUAGACAUGACUUUAAUAUGAGAGUCAUUUUUGAACAUGUAGUUCUAGCAUGAAGUCAUCACAAGAUCACCUAUGGAUCGCAAAGAACAAUUUAUACACUUAGGCAUUUUGACGAACACAUAAGAAUCAUGAACUUAGGCUUGGGCAUGAACAAAUAAACCAAUCCAUCAUGGAAACAUUAAUUAAUUCAAAUUCAAGGAUUUCAAUCCACAUGCUAACAUAAUUUCAUGAAAUUCAUUAAAGAUAUCAUCUUGUAAAUCAUACCACAAGACUAACAUGUGUACAAACAACCCACAACUUGGAAAUCAUGAUUCACGAUUUUUUAAAAGGGAUUCUUGAACUCCAAGGGUGAAAAGGGCCCUUGAAUGAACACUUCACAUACCUUGGUGCCUGAAUUUCUGAAAGUUAAUGGUGGAAUCUUAAGUUCUUAAUUUAAAAUUGAAGUUUCUAUGUUUUUGCUCUUGAGCAAAUUUGAGAAAAAAUGAGUUUAUUUGCUCCCUAAGAUCAUUUAUUUAGUGUUUUGGGGGCUGAAGAUUGAGGAAAAAAGACCUAAAUACCCCCAAGGAAGCGGUCUUUUAAUGACUGAAAAACUAUACCAUCGACGUGCCGUAUCGUUGGCAUCGACGCAAUAGCCAACGCGUUACAUCAAGUCCGUGUGGACUCACUAGAAAUUAACGCUGAGAGCUGGGGAAAAUAUCUAUCAAUGCGAUAGUCGAUGCGGUGAACCAAGAUAGAAUUGAUCUACUAUUUUAGGAUUCCAAAGGAGCUUUAAACAAAGUCCAAAAAUUCCAAAACAUGUCCAAAAAUACCUACAGACAUUCCUAAUCAUAAAUCAACCUAGAUAUCAACAUUUAAGGAUGCAGAAACCAUGAAAUAUGAUCUCCAAUUGUUGAAGGCUAGAAUGACUCUAAGUCUAAAUACUUAGCUAGAAUAUUCUGAGCUUGGGACCCCCUUGGCAAGCUUAAAGGGCUGAAUUAAGCUUUCAAUUUUGUGGGGUCUUACAUUUUACUUCUGAGCUAGAUGGUACACCCUAUAUUUCUAGUACCCACGGGUUAUAUGGGUCCGCUAUUAAAUUAUCAUCCUAGCCCCUUAAUCAAAGUUUUUCGCAAGGAUUGGGGUCCUAAAUACUAUUCUAGUAUAACAGUGACUCAGGGGCAAGUAUACAUUGGCCAUAGCUAAUCAUGUCUCCCGAAUUGACAAAACUCAAUUUCCUACAAUGAGCCUUUACACCUAAAUGCUUUCUUGGGGUAACCAUCUAAAUCUCUUUAAGUACAUUUAUAUUCCUUUAAGAAUCAUGCUUCAUGCUCAUAAAUAUUCACUUUUUAUUUUGGUAAGGGAAUGCAUAUUAUAAUAGGUUGUCAUCAUACCCAUAUUACACAUCAUUCAUAUCAUACCACAUCAUAUCCAUAGCCCUUUUUAUUCAAAAUCAUGUUAGUGACCACCCAAGAGAUUUAAACAUCACAUGAGAGAGUUCUUAUUUCAAAACACAUGAAAACUUAUGCAACCUACUCCCUUUUCAAUACUUUAUCAUACGAUGGUCAUCUCUUUCAUCAAUCACAUGUAAAUUCUUUAUUAGAAAACACGAGCAUUUGUAAAUUAAGGGAAAAACCCCUCUCACUCGUUCAUAAAACAAUUCAUAAACAUUAUCAAAAUAUUUAAACUCAAACUUUUAACCAUUCAUUUAAAAAAUACUCAACAUUGUUAAGACAAUGAGUUUCAUAACAAAAGAGGAAAUAAUGCAAAUCAUGCUCUCAUAUAACUUCUCAAAGUAAUAACACAUGCACAUAUGAAAAUAAUUCAAGUUUUAGGGAAACAACCUCAUAGUUUAUACAAGAUUUCAUUAUAAAACAUGGUUUACAAAGCAUGCUCUUCAAGAAUUUUAAAACCCAUCUCAUGUAUGAAAUUAUAUACCUUAAAAAAGCUUGUUUAAAUGCUAAACUUAUGCCUAUGGAAUUUAGGAUAGUUCCACAUACCUUUUAAUUGACAAAAACAUUGAAAAAGUUUACCAUUGAAGUUUAAUUCCUCAAAUCCUAGGUAGUUUCUCCUCUUUUGAUUAUGGAAUGAUAUUUGAGAAUUUGUAGAGGCAAUGUAACAUUUAUAAGGUGUUAAUUUCAUCCAAAGAGGGUUAGGAAUGGUUAUGGGAUGAUAAACUACCUUAAUGCCCUUAAAAUAAAUCAAACGGAGAACUUUUUGAUGCCCUAGAAAGUCUUUGAAUUUCAUGGCAAAAUAAAAUCUAAGGCAAUUUGCUAUGGCAAUUGCUUUGCAGUGUAGGACCAUCGCAGAUCCGGGACAGUGCCUCAUUCAAACACUCAUAAUUUUUUACUCCGGACUCGAAUUGACAAAUGGUCGAUUUCAUUAUAAAGAAGACUCGAAUGAAUUUAAUUUGAUAUCUAGUAGGAAACAUGGCUCUUUAUAUCCUAGGAGAAAUGGUCUCUGAAAUGUGACCCAAUAAAAAUUAGCAACUAAACGUCAAUCGAUAAGAAAGUUCUUAACUUAACUACUUAGCUAGGAGAUUUUUAUGGUGUAUAUUCAUUCCCAAGGAUGUUCCCACACUAAUGAAAUGUUAUUAAUACUUAUCUUAUUAGAAACCAUCGAGUUUGGGUCUAUAAUCAUUGGAAAGAUAGUUCAACUUUAGCCCAAAAGUGUGGGGUAUUACAAUAAAUAUCUUAAUAUUUUCUUGGCUAAGAUUUAUGUCUAAAUCCCAAUUACAAAAAGUUACUAAUAAAGACAAUCAAGUACAUCAAAAAUGGAGGAAAAGUUACUAAUAAAGUUUCCAAAUGACUUGUAGUGAAAUCCCCAACGUGUGUCACCAACUUUAAUAAGAUUAGGUUCUUGAUUCAAACCUCUACCCAUUUCUAGCUCACCUAUAUCUAAUGCCUCUUGGAGUUUUUAUUUUUGAGAUUAUCGAAAUUCAUCCACACAUUUAAAGGAAUUCCACAACAUAUUCAAAGUAUUGCAAUCAAUAAUAUAAGUUCUCUUACUUGAACACACCUUUUAGAAACUACAACUAGAAUCAAUUGAAGUUGAUUUAACACUGCCUAACUCAACUUGUGUAUUGAUUUCCCCAUCGUAACAUUGCCCCCGAACAUUUGCUAAAGUUAAAGAAUGGUGAGCAAGUGCAUCCACAAUUGCUUUCUUUAGAGAUACAAACUUGUAUCUUUAACAUGAACAAUUCCAAUGAAUGCUUUCAUGAAAAAUCCCUUUUUAUCAAUAUAUCGUAAACAAAUAACCAUUUUCUCUUUGUGUGAUAUGUAUCUUGAUUCAUCAACCCACAAAUCAAAGUAGUCACCAUCUAAAUCCUUUAUUAUAGCCCUGAUUAUUUCAAUCUUACAUGCAGUCACAAUAUCUUUUUGAAUAUCAUGAGAAAUUAUUUUAUUAUUUCUUAGAGCUUUUUCUAACACAUAAAUUUUAAUGUCAUCACAUCUAUCCGCAAGUCAAGAAAGUUCUUCAAGAAAAUUAUCUUAGCUCAAGGAUGAUUCACUUUUAUCAUGACCACAGAGUGCUAAACUUUGAUGUAGAAGAAAUUGGACCACAUCGAUUGAAGCAUUUAAUCGAACCUGAUAUUCAUUCUUACUUUUCUCUUCUAACUUGUAAAAUGUAGCCUCAAUAGAUUGUUCUUCCCUAUUAUGAUCUUCACACUUCCUUUUUUAUUGAUUAUGAAUGCUAUUCGGAGGACCAAUUGUGUUGCAAAGCUAUCUUUUCUAUGCCAAUUUCUAAAUACCUUUGUCGAAAAUGUAUUAUCCCUACCUUGAUGAAUGCUUUCGCCUUGAAGUAAAUAACAAAGCAAACAAUAAGCUCCAUUUGCACUUACACUAUAUUCCAACCAAUAAGAAUAUUUGUCAAACCAUUUAGAAACAAAAUGAUGUAGAGUUCCAAAAAAGUCUACUUGAGGAAACUCAUGAUCACGAGGUUGGAAAGGACAUUUUAGAGUGUAUGCCCUUCAUAUCUCAUCAUGAAAGUUCAGAGGAUAACUCAAAAUCGGAGGUCUUUCAACGGGUUCAGCCUCUAAAUCAUUUACAUCAAAUUUCUGUCUCUGAGAAGACUGAGAUUUUUUUCUAUUUGAUUAACAUCUUCAUCUCUGCGUGAUUCAUUUUGAGACAUUGAACUUAUUUUUGAAACUUUACGAAAAUAUUUCUCCAAGAUCAUUGAAACCUCAAACUUAAAUAGAAGUCACGUGCAUCAAACUUAUUAUUCAAUUUCAAAAAAUAAAAAUAAAAUCAACUUGAAACAUUGUCUGAUUCCCCGGAUACUAUUAACUAGCAAGUUAUCUACUACAUGAAACUAGAAUAUUAAAUUUACUUUGUCUAAAGCCAAGAAAAUGAAAAAAAGCAAGUUCAAGUGGGAAAAAACAAACUAACGGCUAAGAUGAAUUAAAAAAAAACUUUUUACAAUUCACACUUCAAUAACUGUUGAAAAAAAUUUAUAAUGAUAGCUCAUUAAAACUUGAAAGCCUUAUCACCAAAUUGUUGAUUAACAAAUAUCUAAAAUAGCAAGAGGGGUAAAGAAUUUUAUUUUCAAAGAAACAAAGAAGGUGAAAGGCUGGAGUCUGUAGAAGUCGAGAGUUUAAAGAAGGGAACCUUGGUUUUGUUCAAUGUCCUAAUUAAUCUAUUAUUUUUUUAAUUUUAAAGGAAAGGUCCUUAUUUAAAGGUAAAAGGAAAAAGUCAAAGCCAUUAUUUAAUGGAUGAAAAUAGACAUCCGUGUUUUCUUUUUAGGGCAUAAGAAUUUUUUGUUUAUAUUUUUUGAAACAAAAAAAUAAGUAGAUUGAGCCGAGGCUAGGUUUGAACCCAUGCCGCUUGGGCAGAAUUGCACACCUUGACUUAUAAUGCCACGGGAGUGCACCCUGGAUGCCACACGGUGCUUACGGUCACAAGUGACCACAAGCUAUCCCAUGAGCUGGAACCUGCUAUGAGUAUUGAAUAAACUGAUAAUAAAAGAUAUAUAUGUGUGGAAAAAACUGGAUAUGCCAUAGGGUCUAAAUACUGAAAACAAUACAACUAAAAUCCAAAAUUCUAAAACAUAAGCAAAAAUACUGAAAACUGACAACUAACUGGCUGUAUGAAAUAUUUGAAAACUUCUAAAACUGACUAAAUAAGAGUUAAUAGGACAAGCCCCAACUAACUCCGACUAUCUAACUAGAACCAAAUAUUGAAAUAAACAUAAUCAAUCCUCGAAAUAUGAGGACUCACUACUAUGGCUAUUGGUGAUGCGCUGGAAUGUCUAAGUGUGGUUGGGAACCUGAGCAUCUGAACCUAUGAUAUGAGACAUCAUAGCAAAAGAAACGAGUAUACGGGUAGUACUUUGAAUAUACUAGUAUGCUAAAUGAGGUUAGACUGAUAUGCAUGGGCUCAUGUGCAUGAAUAGUAACUAACUGAAUGAAUAGUAUAAGAUAACUGUUGCAUAGUAUGCGUAAAGGCUGUAAAAUUCUGAGAAUGCACGACAAAGCAUAUAACAUGAUAUGGGAAUAGUCUGUAAACAAAAAUAUUGAAACCUAAGUACUGCAUUAACUGAUAAACUGUAUGCUAUGGUCAAGAAAACCGAAACUGACUUCCAAACUGAGACUGGACUGAGACUGUGGGAGCUAUUAUCUAACCGACAUGCCCAAAUAUGAGCUAAUUGGGGUCCAACCAGUGACCCCAGUUGGAAGGGUGUCAAUCCUUUGCCAAGAGUACUAACACUAGUUGUGUGGAUCCACUAAAGUGAAGUGUCAAAGGACUAAAUAGUCACCCUCUACUGGCAGGUGCUCUAGUGAGAUAUAUGUCAACACUCAACGGGCAGGUUAAUAUUUUAACCUAUGCUAGCUACGUAGUUCUAGAACUCAGGGACUGCUACUAAAGGUCACACCCUUAACUGGCAGGUGAGCCUUCAUCCUUGGGUUCGCUCGGUGCUAAAUCCUCUUCCCAACUGGACUGACUUUGAUUACUAGACAGAACUAAGCUUACUGAUAUGAUAACUGACAGAAUUAAUAAUACUCUAAUAUAUUCAAAACCAUUCUAAAAAUAUUGAGACAAAGUAAAAGACUUAAGUUUUUGGAUAUUCAUAACCUCCAAGACUCGAUAACAUUAACUGUAGAAACUUACUAAAGCUUCAAAGUAACUAGUCAUUGUUCAAAAUCCAACCAUUUAGGAAAUUCAUCGAACACUUGAAAUUCAUGAACUUAGGCAUGGGAAUGAUUGAAAUAUGUGGGAAUAACAUAAUCACAACACUAAAACCAUACAUUGAGGAUUUAACGUGAAAUUUCAUGCUUCAAAUGUGUAAGGGAUACUUUCCAACUAAAAUCACUUGCAAACAUCUUGUAUAAUCAAAAUUCAUAAAAGAUUCAUGAAAAUAACUCAUUGUAAACAUGUAAAUUCAUGAUUUAAAGCGUAAAAAUAGGUUCUUGGACCCCAUGGGUGGAAAGGACCCAUGGAUGAACAUCUAACAUACCUUAAGGCUUUAAUCUUGCAAAAAAAUUAACUUUCUUUAUCGUUCUUGGGUGGUGAAGCUUGAAUUCUUGAAUUUUGUUCAAGGAAUAAUGAUUGAAUUUGAUGAACUUGGGUGAUGGCUAGGGUUUCUUUUAGAUAGGAAUUGAGGAAAUUAGGCAUACAAUGCCUUAACUGAUGAUUAAUCCCAUAUUUUAAUGGAUUGGGGCGGUGGAAAAUAACAAGACUGUCUUUCUGGUAUUUAAAUUCAUAAUUGAAAUGUGUAUUAGGGAGGUACCGAAAUGCGAUGAGCCAUCCAUUGGUAUUAUAGCUAUCUCGUGAUGCUAUUGAGAUAACUUGUUGUUUUUGAAAUCUAAUCAUGACCCAAACCUCAUCCAAAAAAUCUGAAACUUCCCUGGGAUAUGCUACUUACACCCCUAAACAUGAAUUAACUUAGAAAUCAUCAUCUCGGGGUCGUAAGGCCACUUUAAAAAUCAUUAAAGUUAAGAGGCCAAAAAUAAAACUAAGUCCCCAACAUUUAGCUAAAUUUUUAGGUUCUAAGCCUCUUGUGCAUGGAAUAUGGGUUGAACUGAGCUAAGACUAACAUGGGUAUUAUUAUAUCUCCCCCUUAGGAAAAUUCACCUUCGAAUGAGACUAAUUAAGCUGAGAAUACCUAGGAAAUUAAAUUCACUUACUGAACAUGCACAACUCAAAACAUGAUUACAUAAUUAAGUAUGAUACAUGAUACAUGACUGGACUGAUUUAAGAAUGCAUGUAAUGAAAGAUGAUUAUAUAGCCUGAAUUGAGAAUGAAAAGAGAUAAUCUAAGGAAAAUUGUUACCUUUAGCUGAGUUUGAGUUUGCAAAGAAAAGAUGAGGGUACUUGCUACGCAUGUCUGCUUCUGCUUCCCAAGUGGCUCCCUCAACGGACUGAUUCCGCCAAAGAACUUUGACUAAGGGAUCUUAUUUGUUCCUCAGACUAUAGGUUUGCCGAUUAAGGAUUUCGACUGGAAUUUCUUCGAAUAAAAAGCUAUCCUAAAUGCCCAUACUUUCUAAAGGGACUAUUACAGCUGGAUUGCCAAUCACUUCUUUGACAAAGAAACAUGGAAUACUGGGUGCACUGAUGUAAAAUCAGGGGGCAACUCAAGUUCAUACACUACUUUCCCAUAACAACUUCAGAUCUUAUAAGGGCCAACAUAUCGGGGACUAAGCUUCCCCUUUUUGACAAACCUCUUCACUCCCUUCAUGGGAGAGAUUUUCAAAUAAACUAAGUCGCCAACCUCAAACUCAAGAUCUCUCUUUCUCACAUCUGUAUAGAAUUUUGGUCGGAUUUAGGCUGUCUUAAGCCUUUCUCUGAUUAGCCUGAACUUUCUCCAAUGCAUCAAAUACUAAAUCUGACCCUAUUAUCAUGGUCUCACCUACCUCAAGCCAACUAAUAGGAGAUCUACAUCUUCUCCCAUAAAGAGCCUCAAAUGAAGCCAUCAGAAUACUUGAAUGAUAAUUAUUAUUGUAAGCAAACUCAAUUAAUGUAAGUAAUCAUCCCAAUUAUCCUUAAAGUUGAUAACACAAGCUCUCAACAUGUCAUUUAGGGUCUGAAUGGUCCUGUCUACCUGACCAUCUAUCUGCGGGUGAAAGGUUGUAUUGAGACGAACUUGGGUACCUAGACCCUUCUGAAAAGCUUUCCAAAAGUUAGAGGUAUACUAAGUGCCUCUACCUGAAAUGAUGGAGAAUGGGACUCCAUACAACCUGACCAACUCUCUAAUAUAGAACUUUCCAUAAUCCUCGGCCGAAUAAGAAGUAUAGACUAGCAAGAAACAGGCUAUUUUGGUAAUUUUGUCUAUAAUAACCCAAAUCAAAUCAUGAUGGCAACGUGAACGAGGCAACCCUAUCACAAAAUCCAUCUUCACCUCCUCCCACUUCCAAGUAGGAAUGUUGAACUCUUGUAUAAUGCUACUAGGCGUUUGGUGCUCAACCUUAACCGGUUGAUAAUUAGCACACUUGGCUACAAACUCUACAAUAUUUGUCUUCAUGCCACUCCAUCAAUAGAUUUUUCACAAAUCAAGGUGCAUCUUAGUGGCUCCUGGGUGAAUUAAGUAACCCACACCAUGAGCUUCUGUAAGAAUUUAAUGUCUCAAAUUGCUGACGUACCACACACAGAGUCAACCCUGUCAACGCAACACACCUCUCCUCCUUGAUAGAAAACCUCUAAAUUCUGAUUUGUGACUAACUUUUUCAACUUAACUAGGCUGGGAUUCGUAUCUUGAUUUUCUUUCACUUCGGCAACCAAAGAAGAUUCCAAACUAUUUCAGACCCAUACACUACCCUUAUCUGACUAAACUAAAUGAAGGGUUAACCUAGCCAACUGAAUAGAUGAGCCAACUUCUUAUUAUCAUUGUCAACAUGAGCCACACUAUCAAUAGAUAAUCUACUAAGGGCAUCUGCCACUACAUUGGCCUUGUCCAAAUAUCAUAAUCCUUCAAGAAUUCUAACCACCUUCUCUGAUGAAGAUUUAACUCUAAGUGAAAAAACAUACUGCAAACUUUUAUGGUCUGUGAGCACAUCAACAUGCACCCCAUACAGAUAAUGCCUCCAAAUUUUCAAGGCAAACAUAACAGCUACUAACUCAAGAUUAUGGGUAGGAUAAUUAUUUUUAUGGGGAUUAAUUUGUGUAGAAACAUAGGCUAUGAUCUUACCUCUCUGCAUCAAAACACAACACAAACCAACAUUGGAAGCAUUAUAGUACACAAAAAUCCUAUCUGAACUAUCUGUCAAGGUCAAAACUGGGGCUGAGGUGAGUCACGUUUUCAAAUCCUAAGAACUUUUCUCACUGGAAUUUGACCACUAAAACUUGACUUUCUUCUGAGUUAAUUUGGACAUAGGGGAUGUAAUAGACAAAAACCCUUCAAAAAAUUAUCUGUAAUAACUAGCCAAACCCAAGAAACUCUUGAUAUCUGAAGGAAAGAUAGGUCUGGGCCAGUUUCUCACUGCUUUGAUCUUUUGAGGGUCAACUAUAAUGCCAUCACCAAAAAUAAUAUGGCCAAGGAAAGCUAUUGAUCUUAUCCAUAACUCACACUUAUUGAAAUUUGUAAAUAAUUGAUGGCAUCUAAGAGUCUGUAUAACUAUUCUAAGGUGGUUUGCAUGAUCAGUUUCAUUAUGAAAAUAGAAAAGGAUGUCAUCUAUGAAAACUAUGAAAAACAUGUCCAAGUACUGCUUAAACACUCUAUUCAUCAAGUCCAUGAAAGCUGCAGGGGAAUUCAUUAGACUAAAGGACAUGGAUAGGAAUUCAAAGUGAUAAUAUCGAGUUCUGAAAGCUAUUUUUGAAAUGUCACAUUCUCUAACUCUGAGCUGAUGAUAGCCGGAUCUGAGGUCUAUCUUAGAGAAAUAAAUGGCACCCUGAAGUUGAUCGAACAAGUCAUCAAUCUGGAGAGUGGAUACUUAUUCUUGAUAGUGACUUUGUUCGGCUAACAAUAAUCGAUGCACAUUCUGAGAGAAUCAUCUUUCUUAUGCACGAAAAGGAAUAGAGCGCCCCAUAGGGAAAUACAAGGCUGGAUAAAUCCCUUACCAAAGAGAUCUUACAACCAUUCUUUUAACUUCCUAAAAUCCAUGGGAGCACUUCUAUAGGACGAAAUAGAAAUAGACUAGGUAUCUGGAAGAAGGUGUAUUUCAAACUCGAUUUCACUUUCGAGAGAAACUACAGAAAGAUCUUUGAAAAACACAUCUGGAAAUUCCCUCACUACUAAAACUAACUCGUGAUUGGUAAUCUCUAAACUAGAGUUUUUAACUUGAACAAGAUGAUAGACACACCUCUUGGAUAUCAAUUUUCUCACUAUAAGGUAUGAAACAAAAUGACCCCUAAGUGUUAAAGUACUACACCUCCAUUCAAGGAUUGGUUCAUUUAGAAAUAGAAAAUGAACAACUAUAUUUCUUUAAUCAACCGAAGCAUAGCAUGAGUGGAUCCAAUACACAUCGAAAAUGACAUCAAAAUCAGUCAUCUGUAACUCUAGAAGAUCAACUGAGGUGUGUUUCUGGGAUAUUGUGAUCGGACAGUUCCUGUAUACCUGCCUGGAUAUAUUAGAGACGCCUAUUAGAGUGGACACUGAGAAAGGUUCUGCUAAAGUCUCAAGCCUGAUAAGAAAAUUAAUAGCUAUAUAGAGAGUUACAAAAUAAAGAGAAGCUCUAGGAUCUUACAAGGAAUAAACAUGUAAAUGAAAGACCUAUAAUGUACCAGUAACUACAUUAGGAGAACUUUCUUGAUCCUAUCAAGACUGAAGUGCAUACAAUCUGCUUGGGUGCUGACCACUAGUUAUGCUGGAAGUGGCACUCUAUUGGGUCAAGUGAUUGGAUGGAACUUGGGGAUGAUUGGACUGACCCUACUUACCAUUAUUUAGGCAAUCCCUGACUCUGUGCCCUGGCGUGACACAUACAAAGCAUACAUCAUUGCCAGAUCUACACACACCCUGAUGGUUUCUACCAUAUUUCUGGAAAAGAGGAUUUGUACGACCACUGUUCACACUACCUUGGGACUUAGAUCCGGGUACCCGAUCUAGAUUAUUAUUUCUGAACUUCGGCACUAGUUCACUAGCUGAAGAUGGAGCUGGGACUGAUAAUUUCUGACAGAAUUGAGGAUGGUAACCACCCUCUAACAUCAGCUGAGCAAAACUAAAGCUACCUUUUUUGGCUCUCUUAUUCUCCUUCUCUUUCCUUAAAUUUGUGCUCCUCAAUUUGUUGAGCAUGGACUAUCAGCCUAAAUAAGUCCAUCUCCUUAAUCAACAUCACAAUCCUACACUCCUUGACCAUGCUAUUAGCUACCCCAGAAACAAACUCACUCAUCCUAGAUCUGUUAUCAAACACCACAUUAGGAGCAUACCUGGCUAGUCGAGUAAACUUAAGAGAAUACUCUUUCACACUCAUGUUCCCCUACUGCAAAAUGAUAAACUCUUGUACCUUAGAUUUCUAUAACUCAAAGGUAAAUAAAAUAUCUAAAAAGGAUGUGGAAUACUCCUCCCAUUUAAUAGGCCCUGUAUCUAUGCCUCUAUCUCCCUUCCACUGCUUAUACCAGGUAUGGGCAACAUCCUACAACUGGUAAGAUCCCAACUCCACACUCUCACUAGAAGUCACACCCAUAAUGUCAGCUACCUUCUAAACCAUGUCAAGGAACUCUUCUGGAUCCUCAUUAAUCUUGGAUCCCAAAAACAAAUGAGGGUUCAUUCGAGUUAAGUCCCGAAUCCUAGCUGCGAUAGUAUUAGCCACUGAAAUGGAUGGGACAAUAGCCUGCUGAUUAUUAUAAGCUUCUACUGAGUGAGAUAAAGUAGUGAAUGCAGCUCUGAAUUUUGCAUGAGAAACAUGCUUAUUCAGGGGAUCUUCCUGAAUAGGCGGAGGUGCGGGUUGAUUUCUAUUUCUUUUUAUAUUCGUCUUUCGGAGAUACAUGCUCUGAAAUGGAAAGAUUAGAAAGGGAGUUUAAAUUUAUCUCAUGCUUAUUUGCAUGACAUGAAUACCAAAAGAAGGAAAACUUCUCCUAAAAUGUCUUAUAGCCUCUUGUCCAUAGGUGUGACACGUUUUACACCCAUGCACAAGACUUUAAUCAACCCGUCUUUCACACUUCCUAUGAUACUUUAAAACAUUAGGAUCUGAUACCAAGUUUGUAAUUCCCUGAGAGUGAACCCUCGACGCCACACGUUUUUUACGAUCACAAGUGGCCACAAGCUAACCCAUGAGUUGGUGCCUACUGUGAGCACCGAAUAAACUGAUAAUAAAAGAUAUGCUUGUGUAUAAAUAGUUGGAUAUACUAUAGGGAUUAAAUACUAAAAACAAUAUAAUUGAAAUCCACAAUUUUGAAACAUAAGCAAAAAUGCUCAAAACUGACAACUAACCAAUUGUCUAAAAUGUCCGAAAGCAUUUAAAACUGACUAAAUAAGAUUUAAUGGGACAAGCCUCAACUUAAUCCAAUUGUCUAACUCGAGUAAAAUACUGAAAUAAACAUAAUCGUUCCUCAAAAUAUAAGGACUCACCACUGCAAUUCAUGCUGAUGUGCUAAAAUAUCUAAGUGCGGUCGGCAACCUGAGAGUCCAAACCUAUGAUAUGAGACAUCAUAGAGCAAGAAAUGAGUAUGCCAUCAGUACUUUAAAUGUACUGGUAUGCUAAAUGAGGUUAGGUUGAUAUGCAUGGGCUCAUGUGCAUGAAUAAUAAUUGAAUGAAUAAAUAUCAUGAGAAAACUGAUGCAUAGUAUGCAUGAAGGCUGUAAAAUCUGAGAAUGCAUAACCAAGCAUAGAACAUAAUAUGAGAAUAGUCUGUAAAAUAAAAUACUAAAAUCAAAGUAUUGAUUUAACUAUAAACAUUAUGCUAUGGUCAAGCAAACCUGAGCUGACAUUCAAACUGAGACUGGACUGAGACUGUGGGAGCUGUCAUCUAACCGACAUGCCCCAAUAUGAGCUAAUUGGGUCCAACCUACGACCCCAGUUAGAAGGGUUUCAGAACUAUGCCACGGAUACUAACACUGUCUAUGUAGAUCCACUAAAGUGAAGUUCCGAAAGACUAAAGAGUCACCCUCUACUGGCAGGUGCUCUUCUGAGAUAUAUGUCAACCCUCAACUGGCAGUUUAAUGUCUCAACCUACGCUGGCUAUGUUGUUUUGGAUCACAUAGACGAUUACAAAAGGUCACACCCUUAACUGGCAGGUGAGCCCCUAUUUCUAGGUUCGCUCAAUGCUAAAUCCUACUCCCAACUAAACUGACUCUGAUUACUAAACUGAACUAAGCUUACUAAUAUGAUAACUGACUAAAUUGAUAAUACUCUAUUAUAUUUGAAACUAUUAUGAAAAUACUGAGGAUAAGUAAACAACUAAGUUUUUGGGUACUCAUAACCCUCAUGACUUGAUAAUAUUAAAAGUAGAAAUAUACUAAAGCUUCAAAGCAUAAUAAGUAGUUAUUGUUCAAAAUCCAAUCAUUUAGGCAUUUCAUCAAACACUUGAAAUUCUUGAACUUAGGCAUGGAGAUGAUUGAAACAUGUAGGAGUAACAUAAUCACAACACUAAAAUCAUACAUUGGGGAUUUAACAUGGAGUUUCAUGCUUCAAAUAUGUAAGGGCUACAUUCCUAAUAAAAUCACUUGCAAACAUCAUGACUAAUUGAAAUUCAUAAAAGCUUCAUGAAAAUAACUCAUUGUAAACAUGUAAAUUCAUGCUUUAAAGCAUAAAAAUAGGUUCUUGGACUACAUGGGUGGAAAGGGCCUGUGGAUAAACAUCUAACAUACCUUAAGGCUUUAAUCUUGUAAGAGAAUUAACUUUCCUAAUCGUUGUUGGGUGGUGAAGCUUGAAUUCUUGAAUUGUUUUGAAGGAAUAAUGACUGAACUUGAUGAAUUUGGGUGAUGGCUUGGGUUUAUUUUAGAUAGGAAUUAAGGAAAUUGGGCCUUAAUAGAUGAUAUGUGUUUCACAGAUUGGGGCGGUGAAAAAUGGCAAGACAUCCCUUCUGAGAUUUAAAUUCGCAAUUGAAAUGCGGAUUAGGGAGGUACCGCGAUGCGAUGAGCCAUCUAUUGCUAUAAUAGCCGGGCCGCGAUGCUAUCGCGAUGACUUACUAUUACCAAAGUCCAAACACGACCAAAACCUCAUUCAAAAAAUUCAAAACUUCGCUGAGACAUUCUACUUACACCCCUGAACAUAAAUUAACUUAGAAAUCAUCGUCUCGGAUUCGGGAAGGUCACUUUAAAAAUAAUCAAAGUUAAGAGGCCAAAACUAAAACUAAGUCCCCAACACUUAGCUAAUUUUACAGGUUCUAAGCCUCUUGUACAUACACUAUGGGCUGAACUGUGCUAAGACUAACACAGGUAGUACGUGACCUUUUGGCUGCGCUUCUCUAACUUUUCAUGAUUGUUCAACAAUAUGUAUAUAACCAUAAAUAUCUUUAUUUAACCUAUAUAUUCAAAAAAAUUUUGAUGAAGUAUGUUUAUCUUACCACCCUUCAAUGGCUGUAGCUCAGCCCCUUCCACCCCUCUCUUUAAAAUAUACUAGUACUUCAUCAAUGCCAUAGAGAAAGAAAAUAAUCUACAAUCAGAGUACUCUUCAAUUGAAAAUGGAAAUAGACAUAGAAAUUGAAAUGGAAAUUCAGGUACAUUUGUCAUGAGCAAUCCAAAUGUGAUGAGAAACAACUUUGAUAUUGAUAAAUAUUAUUCAUUAAAAUUUUUAUUCAAAACUAUGUUUGGUACUACUACUAUUGAUCAUCCACACUACUUUGAUAAUAAUUUUACAUCAACAACUAGUAGUUCCAUUUUCGAUUUGCUAAUGUUUCCACCUCAUCAUGAACCCCUCAUUAACCUAUGAUUGCUACUUCUACAAUUCAAGAUUCAUCAAUAGCUGAUCAUAUGAUUAAUUGAUUCAGUUGUUAAGGUUUUUGUCCUAAUUUUCUUACAUAAUUUAAGUAUUACUUUUUCUUGAAAGGAAAAUAAAAGUAAUUACAUAAUCACUUUUACUUUUCCUUAACUGGUAAAGUUGCUGCCAUAUGACUAGGAAGUCACGGGUUCAAGCCUUGGAAACAGCCUCUGACAAAAAUUCAACGUAAGGCUGCGUACAAUACACUCUUAUGGUGGGGCUCUUCCACAGACACCGUGCAUAGAGGCAACUUUAGUACACCGGGCUGCCCUUUUUACCUUUCCUUAAAGGAAGAUAUAAUUCUUCUCCAUAUUUAGCCAAUCUCUUUCUUGGUGAAAAGGUUUUAAAACUAUAUAAAAAAAACACCCCUUUCUCAUGCAAUAUCACAAUAGCAUCCACAAUAUAGUUGUUUAAGAGUCUUGUUUUGGGAGAGAUUUUCUCUCUAUAGUUUUAUGCCAUCUUUAAUAUUGGUUUUCAUGUGUAGGUCAAUUGGCUAAAUAAUAUCAAUAAUAUGUUGUUUUAUUAUACUUUUAUUUGUCAUCUGAAUUAUCAUCUUCUUGAUUUACAAACUUUAAUUUUUCGCAUAUGGCCCUAUCAAUUUCGAACCUAGCAAGUGGUAUCAGAACCUAUGGCUCAAAAGUUCAAUGGUUUAGUGAAACAAGAUGAAAGACAGGUUCAAAGAAGUUUAAUAAUCAAGCUGCAAUCAGUUUUACAAUAAUGACAAUUUUCUUUAGUUAUAUGUGGAGAAGAAGUUUUAAGCAUAUUUCAACAAUCCUUUAGUUGCAUCUUUAAAAAUAAAAAAAAUAUUAAUUUUUAAUCUACUUUUAAUCAUAUUAUUUUAAAUCUUAUUUUUAACCAUGAAAAACAGUAUUGAUGAAGAUUAUGUGAAGAACAAAGUUCAUGCAUGUGAAGAAGGCAGAUCAAGUGAAUAACAUCAAGCCAAAAGGGGAGAUUUGUUAGAGUUUUUGCCCUAUUACAAAAUUUAAGUUUUACUUUUUCUUAAAAGAAAAAUAAAAGUAAUAUCAUAAUUAUUUUUACUUUUUCUAAAAGGAAAAUAUAAUUUUUUUUACCGUAUUUGGCUAAUUUUUUUUUUGGAGGAAAGAUUUCAGAACUCUAUAAAUAGAAGACCUCUCUUCUCAUACCUUAACAUAAUAGUAUCCACAAUGUAGUCACUAAAGAGUGUUGUUUAGGGAGAGAUUUUUCCCAAUAGGUUCAAUGAUUUUUGGAUAUUAGAUUUUCAUAUGUAGGCUAAUGGCCAAAUCGUAUAAUAAUAUUAUAUAUUUUUAGUAUUUUAUAUUAUGUCAUCUGAAUUAUCAAUGGUCUGAUUUGCAUACUUUAAGCUUCUGCAUAAUGCCCUCUUGAUUCCGAAUCCAAACCUAGUGACUCCAAAUUUAUCAUUGAUUUCUUCAUCAUCAACUGAAUUACCUGCUGAUGAGUAUCAACAAGAUAAAAUUUUACUUCUUUCUAGAUAAAAUGUAUAUUUUUGUUUGUCUGGUAGAGUAUUAGAAAACAUGAAAUUAACUAUGAUAAAAAUUAUAGGUAAUCCUUAGCUAAUUUGUCAGUAAAUAACUUCUAGCUAACUGGAUUUUCUGUAAAACGGUCAACUGUUGAGAUUAGUAUGAGAUUUUUGUUGUUUAGCUAUGAAAUUGUUUUCGCACUCAAUUCCUUGUUUUGUUUAAGUUACCCCAUAUUAGUUUCCCCCACCCCAUCCAUUUUUUUAAAAGAUCCUUUCUAAAUUUAUGAAUCUAAUAAUUUUAUGUUGAAUGAGAAUAUCGAGUUCUGAAAGCUAUUUUCAAAAUGUCACGUUCUCUCUAAGCUAAUGAUAGCCGGAUCUGAGGUAUAUUUUAGAAAAAUAACUGGCACCCUGAAGUUUAUCAAGCAAUUCAUUAAUUUUGGGGAGCAGAUACUUAUUCUUGGUAGUGACUUUAUUCAACUGAAGAUAAUUGAUGCACAUUCUGAGAGAACCUUCUUUCUUACGUAUGAAAAGGACUGAAGUGCCCAGGGGAAAACACUAGGCCUGAUGAAUCCCUUACCUAAGUGAUCUUUCAACUAUUCUUUUAACUUCUUAAGCUCCGCAAGAGCCAUUUUGUAAGGCAGAAUAGAAAUAGAAUGGGUAUCUAAAAGAAAGUCUAUUCCGAAGUCGAUUUCCCUUACGGGAGAAAAUUCGAGAAACACAUCUGGAAAUUCUCUCACUAUUGGAACUGACUUGAGAUUGGGAAUCUUUGAAAUAGAGUUUUUAACUCAAAUAAGAUGGUAUACACACCCCUUGGAUAUCAUUUUUAUCGCUCUAAGGUACGAAACAAGCUGACCCCUAAGUGUUGAAUUACUAAACCUCCAUUCAAGGGUUGAUUCAUUCAGAAACUGAAAAUGAAUAACUCUAUUUCUAUAAAAAAAAAAACUGAAGCAUAGCAUGAGCGGAUCCAAUCCAUUCCAAGAAUGACAUCAAAAUCAGUCAUUUAUAACUCUACAAGAUCAACUGAGGUGUGUUUCUAGGAUAUUAUGACCGGACGUUCCUGUAUACCUGCCUGGCUAUAAUAGAGACACUUGUUGGGUUAGACGCUGAGAAAGGUUUUGCUCAAGUUUCAGGACUGACAACAAAAUUAACAGUUAUAUAGGGAGCUACAAACGAAAGAGAAGCUCCGGGAUCUAACUAGGCAUAAACAUGUAAAUGAAAGACCUGUAAUGUCCCAGUAACUACAUUAGGAUAAAUUUCCUGAUCCUUUCAAGACUAAAGUGCAUACAAUCUGUUUGGGCACUGGCCAUUAGUUGUGCUAGAAGUGGCACCCUGUUGAGUCGGGUGAUUGGAUGGAACUAUGGGAUGAUUAGACUGACCCUGUUGACCACUAUUUGGGCAAUCCCUAACUCUGUGGCCUGAUUUGACACACCCAAAGAAUACAUCACUGUAAGAUCUACACACACCCUGAGGGUUUCGACCAUAUUUCUGGCAAAGAGGAUUUGUACGACUACUGUUCACACUGCCCUAGGUCUUAGAGACUAGCUCUCUAUCCCGAUUAUCAUUACUGAACUUUGACACUGGCGCACAAGCUAAAGAAAGAUAUGGAGAUGAUGAUUUUUGACAAAAUUGAGGAUGGUUAUCACCCUCUAACCUCAGCUGAGCAAAACUAAAGCUACCUAUUCUGGCUCUCUUAUUCUUCCUCCCUCUUUCCUUAAAUUUCUGCUCCUUAAUAUGUUGAGCAUGGACCAUCAAUCUCAAUAAGUAGAUCUCCUUAAUCAACAUCGUAGGGCUACACUCCUUGAAUACGCUAUCAGUUUCCCUAGAAACAAACUUACUCAUCCUAGACCUGCCAUUAGACACUACAUUAGGAGCAUACCUAUCUAGCCGAUUAAACUUAAGAGAAUACUCUUUCACACUCAUUUCCUGCUUUAAAUUUAUAAACUCCUGCACCUUAGCUUCCAUUAACUCCAAGAGAAAGAACCUAGCUAAAAAGGAUGUGGCCAACUCCUCCCAUUCAACUGGCCUUAUAUCUGCACCUCUGUCUCUUUUUCACUGCUUAUACUAGGUGUGAGCAAUAUCCUAUAACUGGUAAGAACCCAACUCUUCACUCUCACUAGAAGUCACACCCAUAAUGUCAGUUACCUUCUGAACUAUGUCAAAGAACUCUUGCGGAUCCUCAUCAGACUUGGAUCCCGAAAAUAGAGAAGGGUUCAUUCGGGUGAUGUCCCAAAUCCUAGCUGCGGCAUUAUUAGCCAAUGAAAUAGCCGUGAUAGUAACCUACUAAUUAUUAUAAGAUUCUACAGAGUGAGAUAAAGUAGUGAAUGCAACUCUAAAUUCGGCAUGAGAAACAUGCUCAUUUAGGAGAUUUUCCUAAAUAGGCGGAGGUGUGGGAUGAUUCCCGUUUCUUCUUUUGUUAGUAUUUCUAGGAGGCAUGCUCAGUAAAUGGAAAUAAAAUUAAAUUAUAAAGGGAUUUUAAAUUGGGAUCAUGCUUAUUCGCUCGACAUGAAUACUAAAAGAAGGAAAACUUUUCCUAAAAUGUCUUAUAUCCUCCUGUCCAAAGGUGUAGUGUUCUUCACACCUAUGCACAGGACUUUACUCAAUGCAGAUUUUAGACUUCCUAGGACACUUUAAAACCUUAGGCUCUGAUGCCAAGUUUGUACCACCCUGGGAGUGCACCCUAGACGCCACACGGUGCUUAUGAUAACAAGUGACCACAAGCUAAUCCAUAAGCCGGUACCUGCUGUGAGCACCAAUUAAACUGAUAAUAAAAGAUAUAAAAGUGAGGAAAAAGUUUGAUAUUCCAUAGGGCUUAAAUGCUGAAAACAAUACAACUGAAAUCCACAAUUCUGAAACAUAAGCAAAAAUACUAAAAACUGAUAACUAACUGACUGUCUGAAAUGUCUGAAAGCCUUUAAAACUAACUGAAUAAGAGUUGAUGGGACAGGCCUCAACUAACUCUAAAUUUUUAACUAGAAUAAAAUAUUAAAAAAAUAUCAUCGGUCCUCAAAACAUAAGGACUAACCACUGCGACUGUUGCUGAUGUGCUGGAAUGUCUAAGUACGGUCAGCAACCUGAGCUUCCGAACCUAUGAUAUGAGACAUCAUAUAAGAAGAAUUGAGUAUGCUGUUGGUACUUUGAAUAUAUUGGUAUGCUAAAUUAGGUUAGGUUGAUAUGCAUGAGCUCAUGUGUAUGAAUAAUAACUGAAUGAAUGAAUAGCAUGAGAUAACUGAUGCAUUGUAUGCAUGAAGGUUGUAAAAUCUAAGAAUGCCUGACCAAGUAUAUAAUAUGACAUGAGAAUAGUAUAUAAACUGAAAUAAUAAAAUUUGAGUAUUGAUUUAACUAAUAAACUGUAUGUUAUGGUCAAGCAAACCUGAACUGACUUUCAAACUGAGUUGGACUGAGACUGUGGGAGCUAUCAUCUAAUCGACAUGCCCUAAUAGAAGCUAAUUGGGGUGCAACCUAUAAAUCCAGUUGGAAGGGUAUCAGAACCAUGCCAUGGGUAAUAACAUUGGCUAUGUGAAUCCACUAAAGUGAAGUCUCAAAGGACAAAAUAGUCACCCUCUACUGGCAGGUGCUCUAGUGAGAUAUAUGUCAACCCUCAACUAACAGUUUAAUAUCUCAACCUACACUGGCUACGUAGUUCUAGAAUGCAGGGAUGACUAUUAAAGGUCACACCCUCAACUGGCAGGUGAGCCCCCAUCCCUGGGUUUACUCGGUGCUAAAUACUACACCCAACUGAAUUGACUCUAUUUACUAGGCUGAACUAAGCUUACUUAUGUGAUAACUGAUUGAACUGAUAAUACUCUAAUAUAUACGAAACCAUUUUGAAAAUACUGAGACUAAGUAAACACCUAAGUUUUUGGGUAUUCAUAAACCCUCGGACUUGAUAACAUUAAUAGUAGAAACAUACUAAAUCUUCAAAGCAUAAUAAGUAGUCAUUGUUCAAAAUCUAACAAUUUAGGCAUUUCAUCAAACACUUGAAAUUCAUGAACUUAGGCAUGGGGAUGAUUGAAACAUGUGGUAAUAACAUAGUCACAACACUAAAAUCAUACAUUGGGUAUUUGACAUGGAAUUUCUCGCUUCAAAUAUGUAAGGCUACUGUUGAUCAUCCACACUACUUUGAUAAUAAUUUCACAACAACAACUAGUAGUUUCAUUUUUUAUUUACUAAUGUUGCCACCUCAUCAUGAACCCCUCAUUAACCUAUGAUUACUACUUUUACAAUUCAAGAUUCAUCAAUAUCUGAUCACAUGAUUAAUGUUUCAGUUGUUAGAGUUUUUAUCCUGAUUUUCUUACCAAAUUUAAGAUUUACUUUUUCUUAAAAGAAAAAUAAAAGUAAUAACAUAAUUACUUUUACUUUUCCGUAACUGGUAAAGUUGCACUCAUGUGACCAAGAAGUCAUGGGUUCAAGCCUUGGAAACAGCCUCUGACACAAAUGCAAGGUAAGAUAGCGUACAAUAACCCUUGUGGUGGGGCCCUUCCCCGGACACCACGUAUAGAGGUAGCUGUAGUGCACCGGGCUGUCCUUUUUACCUUUCCUUAAAAGAAAAUAUAAUUCUUUUUCAUAUUUGGCCAACCUCUUUCUUGGUGAAAAGAUUUUGAAACUCUAUAAAUAAAACACCCCCUUCUCAUACAAUAUUGCAAUAGCAUCCACAAUAUAGUUGUUUAAGAGUCUUAUUUUGGAAGAGAUUUGCUCCCAAUAGUUUUGUGUUUACUUUAAUUUUAGUUGUCAUGUGUAGGUCAAUUGGACAAAUAAUAUCAAUUAUAUAUCUUUUUAUUAUACUUUUAUUUUUCAUCUGAAUUAUCAUCUUCUUGAUUUGUAAACUUUAAUUUUUUGCAUGAGCCACUACCAAUUUUGAACCUAGCAAGUGCUAUAAAAGCCUAUGGCUCAAAGGUCCAAUGGUUUGGUGAAACAAUAUUAAAGAAAGGUUCAAAGCUGUUUCACAAUCAAGAUGCAACCAGUUUUACGACAAUGAUAAUUUUGUUUAGUUACAUGUGGAGAAGAAGUUUUAAGCAUAUUUUGACAAUCCUAUAGUUGCAUCUUUAAAAAUAAAAAUAAAGUAUUAAUUUUGAAUAUACUUUUAACCAUAAUAUUUUAAAUCUUAAUUUUAACCAUGAAAAACAGUUGUAAUGAAGAUUAUGUUAAGGACGAAGUUCAUGCAUGAAGAAGGCGGAUCAAGUGAAGAACAUCAAGCCAAAAGGUGAGAUUCGUUAGGGUUUUUGCCCUGAUUUUCUUACAAAAUUUAAGUUUUACUUUUUCUUGAAGGAAAAUAAAAGUAAUAUCAUAAUUAUUUUUACUUUUCUUGAAAGGAAAAUAAAAGUAAUAUCAUAAUUAUCUUUCUUGGAGGAAAGAUUUUGGAACUCUAUAAAUAGAAGACCUCUCUACUCAUACCUUAAUACAAUAGUAUGCACAAUAUAGUCGUUAAAGAGUCUUGUUUAGGGAGAGAUUUCUCCCAAUAGGUUCAGUGAUUUUUGGAUAUUAGGUUUUCAUAUAUAGAACAAUGGUUAAAUCAUAUAAUAAUAUUAUAUUUUCUUUUAGUAUUUUAUAGUGUGUCAUCUGAAUUAUCAGUGGUUGGGUUUGCAAACUUUAAGCUUCUGGAUGACGCCAUCUCGAUUUCGAAUCCAACACCAGUGACUCCAAAUUUAUCAUCGAUUUCUUCAUCAUCAACUGAAUUACCUGCUGAUGACUAUCAACAAGCUAAAAUUUUACUUCUUUAUGGAUAAAAUGUAUAUUUCUUUUUGUCUAGUCGAUUAUUAGAAAACAUGAAAUUAGCUAUGAUAAAAAUUAUAGGUAAUCCUUAGCUAAUUUGUCACAUUAUAACUUCUAGCUAACUGGAUUUUCUAUAGAAUGGUCGACUGUUGAGAUUAAUAUGAGAUUUUUUAUGUUUAGCUAUGAAUUUUUUUUCCGCACUCGAUUCCCUGUUUUGUUUAAGUUGCCCCAAAUUUAGUUUCCCCUACCCCCUCUAUUUUUUUCAAAAGAAAAUCCUUUCAAUAUUUGUGAAUUUAAUAAUUUUAUGUUGAAUGAGAAGUUUUUAUAGCUACAUCAAUAAUAUUAAUGUUUUUAAAACAAUUCUCAUGUCUUACAUAUGUUAAUAUAUUUGUGUAAGGGUCAAAUACAUAACUAUAUAAGGUUACCAGCUUCUACAACACAUAAAAAUAUUCUGAUGAUAUAAUAUUUUUUUAUACCGACAAUGUAGAUAACAUAAAGUUCUACAAAGAACUUGCUUCUUUCUCUAUAUCUCUCACAUUUAUAUUACUUUCUUCACUUUCUAUUUUUAUUUGAAAAAUUAAACAUUCUUUCCUUUAAUUUUUUAUCUUUAAUAAUAACAUGACCUUAUAUAUAGUUACAAGAAUAUGAUGACAUGUUUAAAAUUAUAAAUUCUACGGACAAUUCCAGAUACAUGAAAAGAGUUGAAGUUUUCAAAUUCCUUGUCUCAUGAAAUAGACAGUGUACAAAAGGAUUGUUCGAUGCUCAAAGCAUCUCGCUUAUGAAUAUUUCCUUUUUCCUUUCGUCAGCAGCUAGUCUUAUAAUGCAAGUGUGAGAUAUAUGCAUAAAAUGUCUUGUGCAUGCAGGAACUACUAUCAUUGCACAACAACAUCAUGUAGUGUGAAGAAGAGAGUGGAAAGGUCAAUUCAACAUAUUUCAAUCGUUAUUACGACUUAUGAAGGUACACACACGCAUCCCUGCCUCGUAACGCCUAAGGGUUAUGUCGGCGUUCAGACGGUAACCACCAACUACAAUGGCUUCAUAGGUGGUGGUGAUAGUAGAGGAAGAACUUGUUAUGGUGAUUCCUCUUUCUUAUUUUCAACUAAUAAUUCAUGAGAAGAAAGAAGGUUCUGGAGCUCUUUUUCCUCUUUGAAUGAAGAUCAUGGACUAAUUCAAAGAUAUGAUGUCAUCACAUAUGAGAAGAGAUCUUAUAGAAGAGUAAGAAAAGAAAUUAGGAUAUAUAUACUCAAACCCAAUUUAUUUGGGACUGAGUAUGACAGAUAAUAAAUUUUAUAAUGCAAUGGUUCGAUUAUAUAACUAAAAUACACUCAAACGCUUUUUAUAUUUUGGACUAGUUUUGCCUAAUUUUUUCUAAUCUUUUUUUGUGUUUCUUUAUAUAUUUUAGAUAAUUGUGGUUUUCUAUAUUUUUUAAGAGAAUAAAAUACAAAUUCCCAAUUCAAAAGCUUUAUAUUAAUCAUCACACAAGUUAUUAGUGAGUCUAAUAUGAUAUUUCAUUGUGAAAAGAAAUAUUGUAAAUUUAUAUUAUUAACUGGUUGUAGAUGACAACUACCAGUAUCUUUUUAAAUAAAAAUAUAACAAUCUUUUGACCAUCUUACCAUUUGAAAUUAAUGCAAAUCCAUCAUAAGAUUUCAUCAAGUAUAGUUCUUGCAUACUGUCAUCAUUCAACUGUUUCACUACAAUCACCUUUUACAUAGCUUUUUAAUUCUAAUAGCUUAUUUUAUAUAUUGAUUUAGCGAUAUUUAGAUAGAUUAUACACAUCUUUACCACACGAUCAAAUGAGUUUAUCACCUUUUUAAACUUCUCCUGUUAAAUUAGAACGCAUAAAAUAAAAUCUGGGAUAAUAUGAUACUCUAAGCAAUAGAAACAAAAUGAUAAAUUUAAUAUUAUGGCUUAAUAGCACUUAUUUUAAAUAUAAUUAUAACAACCUUUCAAUCUCCUUACAAAUAUUAUUCUAAGUUUUUUGUAAAAAGGUCCCUUUUUAAUUAUCUUGAAUUUUAAAUUGUUAGAUCUCGUAUCCCAAUACCGUCCAAUCUCGUCACCAACCCUCAAUUCAAGAUUUGCAAAUAAAUUCUCACAGGCAAUUGUGUAGUCUUUGCUAAGCUCCAUCAUCUGAUUGGAAGCUUGAUGAUUUUUAGAAUUUGCCACACCAGUAACAUCCACUAGUUCUACUUCCUCCUUGUUUCCUUUCUUUAUCAGCGUGACCAUAUCUUUCAUCCAAUGCUUAAAUAUGUGGAUCUUCAUAUCCUCGAACGACAAUACUAAUAUCGUCACGGACUUCUCAAAGUCCAUGAUUAUUUUGGUAAUAGUCCAUGGAUUUUGUACAUUCAUCCAUACUUCUUCUUCUGUUUUUGAUGGGAUGAAAUUGUCCAUGAAAGCCUUUUUUCUAAUAAUAAUAAUAAUUGAGAAAAAGUGUUUGAUGAAUUUUCACAAUGUUGAGCAAGGAUGAAUAGAAAUUUAUAGGGAUGUUUUGUGUUAAAUUUGGAAAGCAUAUGACACUAUAAAUUAUUUUCCUAAUAAAGUUUUUGUAUAAGAUUACAUAAUUAAGAUAAUUUUUUCUUUGUGUAAAUUUGUACACCAAUUUAAAGAACCAUUUAGAAUUAAUUUAAUGACUUCCCAAAUUUUGACCAGUCAUAUUUUAAAUUUUUCUGGUUAUAUUAGAAAUUAAUUUAAUGACUUUCCAAAUUCUAGUCAGUCAUAUUAGAAAUUAAUUCAAUGCCUUUCCAAAUACUGGCUAGUCAUAUUUUGAUUUUUUCUUGACACCUUUCUACUACUACUACUUGAUUUGAUACAUUACGUCCAAAGCAUAUUUUUGUAGUUACAAGUAAUUUUAUUUAAUAGAAUAUAUAAUAAAUAUUAAUUAAUCGGUUAUAAUAAAUUAGCUUACACUAAUGACUAUAUAUCUAAUUAAUAGAAAAUCCAUCAGUAUAGGAGCUUAUAAAUCUCUCAAACAUUAGUUUUCAAAAUUAAACUUUCUAUCACUUAAAAAUCGUCUAGGUAUAUUGUUGUGUCAUACAGGUCCAUGUAUCAUGACAUGCGCAAGUAUUUCAGUAACUGAAGAUAAUUUUGGUAAUAAAAUCUAUUAAUUCAAGGCGAAAAUCAAGGGAUUAACGAAAAUAUAUAUCUUGGUGAUGUAACUUGAUUAAUUUCAUUGAAUUACCUUUUAAAAUAUUAAAUUUGUUAGUGAAUCAGAAAAAAUCGAGUUAAUUAGGUCUCAAAACAUACACCAAACACCGAAUGAAAAUCAAAUGAAAAUACUAUAUAUGUAGUCUAACAUAUUAGGUGUAACGCCCUGAGUCUGUACCUCGGACGCUACACGGUGCUCAUAAUUUCGAAGGAGAACAAGCUAAUCCAUGACUGGUACCUGCUGCAAUAACUGAAUAAUAAUAAUGUCAUAUGCAGAAAUUAGGCAGAAAACAUGCCAUAAGGUUGAAUACUGAAAUAAAACUGAAUACGGUAUAACAAAUACCAAAUUUGAUACAUGUGUCUAAAAGUAUUCUAGUCUUAAAAAGCCUCUAAAUUGUCUGAAAUAUGGAGUUGAUGGGUCAAGUCACCAACUAACUCCGAACUACUGAAAUAAGCUGAACUACUGAAAUAAUCAUCAUGUUCUCUAACUAAGAGGACUCACCACUUACUCUAUCAGCUGAAUAUCUGAACUGCUAAGUUUGAUCAGGAGCCCGCGCGUCUGAACCUAUGAUAUAAAAUAUCAUAGCGCAAAUGAAAGGUAUGUAUUAGUACUUUGAAUGUACUGGUAUGUAAAAUGAGGUAGGCUGAAAUGUAUGGGUUCAUAUGCAUGAACAAUACUGACUGAAUGACACGAGUAUAACUGAAUGAGAGUACAGGAAUGAAUACGUAAACUAUAAUUGAGAUCGUGCUAACACUGGAAUGCCAAAUUUGAGUACGGAUUAAAUGAUAUUUGAGCCUACUGAUACUCAAUUUUUGAUAGCUGAGUGACUGUAUCUGACAGUCUUGAAUCUGUGAAACUAUACUAAGUUCUGAUCUGAGUUUAGUAACUGUGUCUGACAGUUCUAAUUUUUUGUAGAACAGAACUGAGUUCUAUACUGAGACUAGAAUUGAAACUGAGACUGUGGGAAGUAAUCAUCUAACCAACUUGCCCCUCUUUGAACUGAUUGAGGUUCAACCUGUAACUCCAGCUGGAAGGGUGUCAGUACCGUGCCAUGGGUAAAGAUAAGCUGAGUCACCCUUAUCUUCCAGGUGCUCUGAACGAGAAUAGUGGUACCAUCAACUAGAAGGUAGAUCACCUCAUCAACCCUUAACUGGCAGGUUGAUGUCUCAACCUACGCUUGCUACGUAAUUCUGGAACACAAAUACUGUUUCUAAGGAUCAUACCCUUUACUGGUAGGUGAGUUCCCAUCCGUGGGUUCACUCGAUGCUGAAUCCUACUCCCAACUGAAUUGACACUGGACUAGAUUCUAGACUAUUCUAGGCUGGACUGAGCUGUUUCUGAUCGUACUGUAUAACUAAACUGAACUGAGUUCACUGGUUUCCGUGGACUGAUGGAAUACUACUGAAUUUUGUUAUGACUAAAUUCUACCAAUCGUGACAUGACUGAUACUAUCCCGUGACUGACCAUGGCUCUAGGUAAACAGCUAAAUUAUCGGGUAUUAAAUACCCUCAGGACUCAAUAGCAUAAAUUGUAAGACAUGGCAUAAUCUUGAAAUAUGAUAGCUAAGUACUUGGUCAUCGUACAUUUGUUUGGGACAUUCUAGCAAACACUUGCAUGACAUAAACUUGAAUAUAUGCUGACAUGAUAUAAUUUCACUAUUCAACUAACAUAAAUAAUUCAUUAAACACUUGAAGGAAAUAAUCUAUGCACAUGACACUAACACAAUAUGUAAGCAUCAUAGUUCAAUUCCUCAUUUACAACUUCAAAGGUUUCAACAUGGUUUUGCAUGAUAAUGCACACAUAUCAAUCAAUUCCACAUGAAUCUUGUAGUAAAUCAUGAACUAGAAACCCCAUUAACAUGGUAAUCAUGAACUCAUUCAAAUUCAACCAUAAAAUUCAUCAAACUCAUAAACUUGUAGUUAAAAAGGGUUCUUGAACUCCAAGGAUGGAAAAGAACCCUUGGAUGAACACUUGACAUACCCUGGUUGCUAAAUUCCUGAAGAACAAUGUUGGAAAUCUUGAGCUGAAAUUAAAUCACCUAGAGUUUUUGUUCUUGAGCAAUUUGAUAAAAAGUAAGUAUAUUUUGCUCAAUGAGGGUUGAAUCUCGUGUUCUAUGGCUAAAUAAGGGUGAAAAAAAGACUCAAAUACCCCCAAGGACGCGACUUUUAAUGACUAAAAACUGGUAUGUCGACGCGCAGGACAACGCGCCGCAUUAUUGGCAUCGACGCGAUAGCCAACGCGCCACGUCGAGUCUGCAUCGGUUCACUAUAAGUAGCCACUAGAAGUCAAGGAAAAAUAUUGAUCGACGCGAUGGCCGACGUGCCGCACUAAGAUCGCGUUGAUACACUAUUUUGGAUUCCCAAACGUGGUUCUAAUGAGGUCCGAAAAAUACGAAACUCGUCCGAAAACAUCUACUGACAUUUUUUAUCAUGAAUCAGCCUAAAGAUUGACAUUUUAAGGCCAUAGGGGCCACGAAAUAGAAUUUCCAGCUUACGAAGACUAAAAUAACACUAAGUUUGAAUACUUAGCAAAUUUUCUAAGUCUGGAACCCCUUAACAAGCUUUAAAAAGGGCUGAGUUAAUUUAAGGAUUUCGCGGGGUCUUACAUUAGGUUUCCUAUAAGCUAAGUGGAGCUUAGGAAAUCAAUUAUGAGUAAACGUUGAGCAAUAUGGAUAUAUUUAUGUAGGGUAUAUUAUAUGCACCCAUAGACGACUAUGCUUAGAUUUGGUUUUUCUUUAAUUAAUUUUUUUCCGGUCCAGUCCGGACCAUUUUAUUAACUAAAAAUUACACAAAUACACAACUUAUGUUUUCAAUAUUACAAGAAAUCCCAUCUCCCUAAACAUAUUAUAGAAAUCCCACAUAUAGACAGAAUGCUAUGUAUAUAUCGGUUAUGUUAUGUCUAUUAAUAGGGAGAGAGAGUAAAGUAAUAAAAAAAGUGGGAGAGAGUGUAAUUACUUUUAAAAUAUUGAUAUUUAUGUGAUUUAUACUUAUAUUAAUAAUGAGAUCUCAAAACACGGUCUAUAACUUUAGAUUGAUGGAGGGGCCCAAGCAAAGACCCGAUCCAAUAAAUUGAAAGAAUGCUUAGAGUUGUUUCCUUAUUAAGUUUAACAAAUUUUUAUUUAGCUUUCUCCUAUACUGAAUGAAAUUCAUAGCUUACCAUAGUCCUCCCCACCCCACCCCACCCUAUAGCUUCAUCUUUGUGGAAUAUAAAAAAUUCUUUAUCAUCAUUUUCCUAUAUAUCCUUGUUCAAAUAAAACAUAUAUAUGAUUGCCAUGGAUGAAAAGUUGGAAGCCAAUAAUUUUAAAGGUAAGUUUCACUUAGUGGAAAGCUCAUGAGGACUUUACUUUUUCUAUUUGAAUCAUUUCUACCGAGUUGUUUAGUGUAUAGUACUUUUUCAUAAAGCAUGUCUCACAAACGAAAAUAUUUAUUAAAAUAAGGAGAUCGCAAAAGUUUGACCAAACAGGCAUGCCCUUUUUUUUACUGUUUUUGUGUGGAAUUUAGCCUACGCGCAUUUAAUUUAAAUUAUGUAGCAAGUUCAAAGUAUAUCUAGAAAUGUGGAUGGUACCCUUUAAUAGUACCAUAUUUCAAUCAUGUAGAUAUAGUUAAUUCUAAUAUGAUGGAUUACCAAGUAUAACUUGUCAUAUGUGUCCAAAAUUAUUCCUGACAAAAAAAUAUUUAUUAAAAUAAGUCUAUUGUAAAGUUUAGCCAAACAUGCUAUAAGCCAGUCCUUUUCUCUUUUAUUGAAUUUAGACUGUCCAUUUUUAUUUGAAUAUAUAGCAAGUUUCAAGUAGCUAUAAAUGUGGAGGUAGCCCUUACCACAAUAUUCCAACAAUAUAGAUGGCACCUCUUAACUCUGAGAUAAUGGACUACCAACAAAACUUUCUUUUUGUGUGUGUGGAUUAAUGUAUUACUUAAUGUGCGUAAUACUUAUUUUGGGUCACAUUAUUUUACUGUUGUUGUGUUCAAUUUAUAUAUUUUCUUUUUUCAAACUAUUCAAAAAUAUUUUAUUUUAAGUCAGUUCUCUCCAUACCUCAUUUGUAUGAUUACCCUUUGAUAUGUUGUUGAGGUCUAUGUUUGUCUAUAAAAAAUGCAAGGACAAAAACAAUGACAAAAACUUUCUAUUUCCAAGUAUAAAAGGAUACACAAGUUUAUCAAUGUGCUAAUUUCAAGCCCAAAGAGCAAGGAUUGACAUUGAAGUAGAGCCAAGAAGAAGAUCAAUAAAAGAUACUUUUUUCAAGAAUGGCUGACCACUCAUGAAUUUUUUGUGAAAGAAAUCAAAGGCAAUAAGAUCAACUAAAGCCAUGUAUAUGUGUAUACCGGAACCGGAAGAUAAAGACCCCAAUAAACCUUCAAAGAUAAAGGCAUUUGGGCUUGUGUCACCAUAUCCUGCUAUUGAAAAAACAAUCAUUCUCAAUAUUAUACCCAAUAAUAGAUAUUUUUACCAAAAAUGUUCAAUCUUAAUUAACAAUUUCAACUUUUAUUCAAACACGUAUCAUUGAGUAGAUUCUAGAGCGGGCUAAUAAUAGUAAUUUUAGAUUCAAUCACAUAUUUGGGAAGGCGAUUGUUCUGCAGAUCCUUAGGAAAGGAAUAUAAAGAAAAUAAAAGAAGCUAUUUCACUUCCCUCACAGGUUAGAGCUACAUUAAAGUUUGAACAACAAAAUAUUUCAAAUUUCAAAUUCAGAACUAGCAAAAUAAAUUUCAAGUUUGCCGCAAGGAUUAGGGUCCUGAAUAAUAUUCUAGUGUAUCAGUGCCUCAGGGGAAAGUAUACAUUGGUCAUAGCCAAUCAUGUCUCCUGAAUCGGCAAAACUCAAUUUCGAGCAAUGAGCCCUUACACUCAAAUGCCUUCUUGGGGUAACCAUCUAACUCUCUUUAAGUCCAUUUUUAGUCCUUUAAGAAUCAUGCUUCAUGCUCAUAAAAAUUCACUUCUGAUUCUUGUAAGGGCAUGCAUAUCAUAAUAGGGUAUCGUCAUAUCCAGACUUGCACGUCAUUCAUAUCAUACCACAGCAUAUCCAUAACCCUUUUUAUUCAAAAGCAUGUUAGUGACCAACCAAAAGAUUUAAACAUCACAUGAAAGAGUUCUUGUUUCAAAACACAUGAAAACUCAUGAAACCUACUCCCUUUUCAAUACUUUAUCAUACGGUGGUCAUCUUUUUCAUCAAUCACAUGCAAAUUCUUUAUUAGAAAACACGAGCAUUUGUAAAUCAAGGGAAAAACCCCUCUCACUCAUUCGUAAAACAAUAAAAAUUCAUAAAUAUUAGCAAAAUAUUUAAGCUCAAACUUUUAAUCAUCCUUGUAAACAAUUCACAACAUUGUUAAGACAAUGAGUUUCAUAACAAGAGAGGGAAUAAUUCAAAUCAUGCUCUCAUAUAACUUCUCAAACUAAUAACAUAUGUACACAUGAAAAUAAUUCAAGUUUUGGGGAAACAACCUCAUAGAUUAUACAAGAUUUCAUCAUAAAACGUGGUUUACAAUGCAUGCUUUUCAACAAUUUCAAAAUCUAUCUCAUAUAUGAAAUUCUAUACCUAAAUAAAGUUUUUUUAAACGUUAAAUUUAUGCCCAUGGAAAUUAGGAUAGUCCCACAUACCUUUAAAUUGACAAAAACGUAGAUAAAAUUUUCCCUUGAAUCUUAAUUCCACAAACCCUAGCUAAAGACGGAGCUGGGACUUAGAGCUUCGCGCCCUAUCCUGAUUAUCAUUUUUGAACUUCGGCACUGGAGCACUAGCUGAAGACGAAGUUGGGGCUAAAGAUUUCUGACGGAAUUGAGGAUGGUUACCACCCUCUGGCCUUGGCAGAGCAAAACUAAAGCUACCUGUUCUGGCUCUCUUAUUCUCCCUCUCUCUUUCCUUAAAUUUCUACUCCUCAAAUUGUUGAGCAUGGACUAUCAACCCAGACAAGUCCAUCUCCAUAAUCAACAUCUUGGUUCUACACUCCUUGACCAAGCUAUCAGCUAUCCCAAAAAUAAACUUACUCAUCCUAGACCUGUCAUCAGACACCACAUUAGGAGCAUACCUAGCCAGCCAAGUAAACUUAAGAGAAUACUCUUUCAGACUCAUGUUCCCCUGCUUCAAAUUGAUAAACUCUUGAACCUUAGCUUCCCUUAACUCCAAGGGAAAAAAACUAUCUAAAAAUUACGUAGAAAACUCUUCCCAUUAAAUAGGACCUGCAUCUGCGUCUUUAUCUCUCUUCCACUGCUUAUACUAGUGUGAACAACAUCCUGCAACUGGUAAGCACCCAACUCUGCACUCUCACUAGAAGUCACACCCGUAAUGCCAGUUACCUUCUGAACCAUUUCAAGGAACUCCUGCGGAUCCUCACCAGACUUAGAUCCUGAAAAUAGAGGAGGGCUCAUUCGGGUGAAGUCCCAAAUCCUAGCUGCGGCAGUAUUAGCCACUGAAACGGCUGGGACAAGAUCCUACUCACUGAAAUGAUUGGGACAGGAUCCUAUUGAUUAUUUUGGGUUGUUACUAUGUGAGCUAUAGUAGUGAAUCCAGCUCUAAAUUUACCAUGAGAAACAUAAUCAUUUAGGGGAUCUUUCUGAACUGUCGGAGAUGCAGGCUGAUUCCCUUUUCUUUUUUCAUUAGUCUUACUGAGAGGCAUGUUUUGUAAACAGAAAGAAGAUUGAAUUAGAAAAGGGAGUUUAAAUUGAGCUUAUGCUCAUUCGCACAAAAUGAAUACUAAAAGAAGGGAAACUUUUCCUAAAACGUCUUAUAGCCUCGUGUCCAUAGAUAUGGCGUGCUUCACACACAUGCACAAGACUCAACCAAAUUCGGUUUUUAGAAUUCCUAGGACACUUUAAAAACUUAAGCUCUGAUACCAAGUUUGUAACGCACCGAGAGUGCACCUUGGAUUCCACACGGUGCUUAUGAUCUCAAGUGACCACAAGCUAACCCAUGAGCUGGUACCUGUUGUGACCACUGAAUAAAUUGAUAAUAAAAGAUAUACAUGUGCAGAAAAAGCUGGAUAUGCUAUAGGGUUUAAAUGCUGAAAACAAUACAAUGAAAUCCACAAUUCUGAAACAUAAGAAAAAGUGUUGAAAACUAUCAACUAAUUGACUGUCUGAAAUGUUCGAAAUCCUUUAAAACUAACUGAAUCGAAGACAUUUUUCAUUCAUCAAAUCAGUCUUCGUAGAUAAUCGGAGGCAUCCUUCAUUUAUCCCAAGUCCCCAUGAAUAAUCAAAGGCGCCAUUCAUUCUCAAGUUCUUGUAUACAAUCAGAGGCAUCAUUCAUCUUUUCAUUAAAAUAUAUAAUUAAAAAAGUUAUUUUCUUCAAAUUCCAUUCAAAAGGCCAAAUUCUAGCCAUAACUCAUACACUGGGGUAAAUUUUGAGAGCCGCCCCAAAAAUAAUUUUCUAUUUUCGCAUAUCGAACUACAUUGAUCUGAUUUUCUUGACACUCGAGAUAUGUAGGAAGCACUAUGCAGAGUUCGAUCAUGGCAAUGACAUAAUCAUUCUUUCUCCCCACCAAGUACUCAAUCUUGUAUCCCCAGCAUCUCACAGCUCGAUACUGGGAAAUUUCAAAAGAAGCAUCGGGAAUAUAUGAACACUUUCGUUCCCAAACAACCCUCCUCUCAAUAAUCAUUCCAUAUGAUCAUUUGCCCCUAAUAACAAGGCAAAAGGCAAUUGCAUGUUCUUUUAAACAACAUCCGACCUGAUCCUCAUACAGCUCGAGGUAUGUAGGUAACUUUGAAUUAGAGUUCGGCCAAAUUUUUUUCAAAAAAUAUAUAUAUAUCAUUUUUGUCGAGCAAAAUUGGCUACACGUCAACAUUUUCAUUUGAAUAUUUCUACAUCAUCCUCAAAUGAAAAGGGGCAACUGUUGACACCCAAUUUUUGCUCUUUAUGCCUAAAUUUAAUGUCUUCAGGCUUCCUGGCCAUUAAAGGGCACAAAAUAUAAUUUUCACAUAUUUUUACUUUUCUUAAUUUAUUGAUAAUUCUCUGUACAUUAGAAUUUUUAUCAAUUCAUUAUCAUCUGUAAUAUUUUUUCACAAUCAUCUACUCACAUACAUGACAUGACAUCACAUUUUAUAACAUUUUCAAAUUAAUUACUUUUUUUUCAAUAUUUUUAACAUUCUUUACAUUUUUCAAUAAUUACAAAUCAAUUUCUAUAUUUUUUACAGUCCGCAAAUAUUAAAUCGGAUCAAUUAUUUUUGUACAGUAUAGUAAUUUGAUGUCUUGUCACAUCUGAUAAGUACCACACAAUAAUCUCUAAUCACAUCCGACAAGUUAUUGAUAAUUGUCAUUAUUUUAGAAUUUUGACCAAUUUAUUGUCAUAUUUUAAUUUUACAUAUUUUUUCUUAAUUUCGUAAAUGUUAGGAUUUUUAUCAGUUUAUUACCAUUUUAAUAUUUUUGAACAGUCAUCUACAUACAUACAUAACAUAAUACUACAAUUCUUUUUACAUAUUAUAAUUUUAGUUGUUUAUAGUGUAAUACAUUUUUUUUCAAAGAUAAUUAUAUCUGUUUAUAUUUUUCUGUAGUUAUAUAUAUUGAUAUUUUUAUUUUGUACCUUAUUUAUUUCAGUCUACAGAAAUAAUAUCGGUUUAUUUUAAUAUAAAUAAUAAAUUGGUCAAAUCAAGGUCUCAUCACUCUUUAUCAGUUUUGACUUUAAUUUACCUACUACCCAAAAUUUAAGAAAUUUGUUGGAAGAAAUAAUUUCUUUUUUCCUUUUAUUUAUACCAACACACCUAUACAUAAUAGACACACAGAUUCACAAUACAAACACCUACACGUAUUUUUCUUUCUUUCCCAACACACACGCCUUUUUCUCUGUACAUCAGCAGCUACUAUCAGAGCUCCGGCGAACGGCUCCGGCCAACACAACCACUGUCACACUUCCCCUUCUUCUUUUCCCAAAUUCUGACCAUCAAACACCACCUCCAGCAGCACCACAAUGCUGACCAGCCAUCUUCACCAAAAAUCACUAUUUUCAAACACUUUGCGCCUCUUCUCUCCCACUAUCGAAGACAACACCGGCGAACUACCCCUGUCGCCCAUCUCUCCAUUUAUUUCUCUCUCUACCCUCACUGCCAACUGUUGGAUUUGACUAUCGAACGAUCGAAGACCGAGAAAACAACCCCACAACCACUACCAUCGAAAAUGGGUCAGAUCUAGCCAAGUUCAUGGCUUACGGCGUCGCUCCAGCGAAGGCCAUGGAAGCGACGUCAUUUUAUUACUCUUUUGUUCGUCGGUAUCACUGAAUAAAUAAGGCUUCAAUAUUUUGUGUUUUGUUGUAUUAUUUGGUUAUUCUCUCAAAUUUUGAUUUGAAAUUCACUGAAGAAUAAUGUUUUGUUUUACCUUUUUUUAUUGUUGCUCUAAAUGUGUUGGCCGGAGUUAAUAAAACUCCAUACUUUAGGACAAGCAUUUACAUGUUUCAAAUAUUUCUCUAAUUUUUAGCUUGCUCGAGUUUUUGUUAUGUUGCUACUGCUGCUCCAUUCAUUGUUAUUACUGCUGAUUUUGCUAUAGAUUUUCUAUUUGUGUAAUAUAAUUUUUUUAUUUGUGUAAUAUGAAUUUUCUACUAUCCACGGACUGAUUUCGCCACUUACAUUUUAUUUAAUGAGAUAGUACAAAAAAUAUUUGGCUAGUGAAAUUAUCUCUCCGUCGGAUACUUGAGGCCACCCUAACAAAAGACAGAUUUUGCUUUUUAGUUUACUUAUUUUAUAUCAAACAUCAAAACACUGCCUAUGACAAUAUCUUUUCGUUGGAUUUUUGAGGCCCC
rnacentral:lncRNA from 1 species